rnacentral:lncRNA from 1 species
AAAUAAAUAUGUAAAAACUAUUCGGUAAAUAAUAAUAUUAUAUAUUAUAUAAAUUUUCAUGCUGCAACAUUCUAUUUAAGAUUUAAAUUUUGUAAUUCCUAAUAUCUUAUAGCUUUUUAGAAAUAAAUUUAAGUAAAAAUAUAAAAUAUGCAAGAUUUUAAUUUAAUAAAAUAUAAAACGGAAUUGCCCCGCCGUGUGGUUCGCCCGUCCUUUUCCAUACACAUGAUCGAGAUCUGUUAUCUGUUGAUACGGUUGUUAGAAGGCGCUUCAAGUUAAUAUAUAAUAAUAACUAUGGCGGGUGAUUGGACGGCGCCGGCGGAUCUGAUGCGUCCACGCGGCCUGGGGCCUUCUUGUGGGGUUGAGAUGCGGGGGGCGCCUGUCUGCCACUACUCCCACGUCCUUUUCUCGCUUAUCCUCAUUCGGUGAUCUCACUUUGCCCGCACCCCUCGUUGGAUCAGCGCACCGACGGAUCUUUUGUUCCAAAUAUAAAAUAAAAAUUACUAAAGUAGCAUAAAAAUAAAUAAAUUUAAAAAACUAAAAAAAUAAAAAAAAUACAAAUAAAAAAAAUUAAAGAAGAAGGAACAACGGCUGUAAUAAAAAUAUAAGAAUAAAAAUAUAAAAAAUAUAAAAAAUUAUAAGGCUAAUAAAUUACCUUUAUAAUAGCAGUGAAAUUCAAGAAUUAAAAUGUUAUAUAUCACAUAGAUCGAGUCAGAAAUUGUAAUUAAUUAAAGUUUGAGCUAUAAGGCGUUGCGUCCUUCAUAGUUUGAGCUAAAAAGAUAUAAUCCAUUAAAAUUGGAGAAGUAAAAUAUCAUGCGACUUACAGUUUGAGAACCAAAAGCGUAAUUUAUCUAUUUUAUAUUUUAAUUUUAUUUCAAAGGAAGACAGGGUUGAACAUCGAUUAGUUUUGUGCAAUUUAUAAUUUUAUUCGAGAAAAAAUAUGUUAAGCUAUCUAAUAAAUUUUAAAAUGUCUAAUAACUUAUGGUUAAUUAAAAUUUUCUAACGAAUUCUAAUUUAAAAGAUAUAUUUGAAAACAUCGAAAUUUUUAUAGAGGUAAUAUAUAAAAGUUGAACUUUAUAGAAAUAUAUUUAUCAUUUACUAUAAUUAUAGAUAUCUAUAUGAAAUUAAUCCUUGUUUUUAAUAAUAAAACAAUAGCACUGACCACCCUAGCACAAGUGGCAAAAUGAUUGGUGGUUAGUAUCAUGGAUCUUAAGUUCGAAUCCUAAUUAAUUCACAUUUUUCCGACAUUAUUUCUAAAAGAAUAAAACCUCAAAAUAAAUUAUCAGAUUUUUAAUUAAAAAAUAAUAUAACGAUAAAAAUUGUGUACAGACUUAAUGUAUUUUAGUAUUUUCUUAAAUAGUUUUUAAAAUUUUCAAUAUUUACAAAAAAAAAUCUAAACUUUAUUAAAUGAUUUAAUAGGUAAUUUUUUAUUUUUAUACUAGUUAAGACUAGUUAAGAUAAUCACGGAGGAGAACUGAAUAAUCAGGUGCAUGUUUAUCUUUAAUUCUUAUCAUUUUUUUAUGCAUGUAAGAUUGAAUAUAUAUNNNNNNNNNNNNNNNNNNNNUAUAUAUAUAUAUAUAUAUAUAUAUAUAUAUAUAUAGUUUUGAAUUUUAAAUUUUUAUAAUAUUAUCUGUAAUGUGAACGACUAAAAUUAUUUUGUAAUUAGUAAUUUCGAUUAACCAUGAGAGUUUUAUCGAACCAUUUACUCAAGUUUAAAAAUAUAACAAUUAAUUAAAAAUUAAAAAAUAUAUUUGCAAACAUGUUGAAGUUUUGAAUUGGCCGUGUAUAAUAUAUUCUUUCAAGCCGAGUAUUCGAAAUCGGUCGCGUUAGCAACAAAUUCACGACUCACCGGGCGGUGAAGGUGACGAGAGGAGGGUUUGGUGGGGUGGGACCCACGGGCUUCAGCUGUCAACAAAGUGAGGCAGCAGGAAGAGCCCCGCCCCUCUCUCUCUCUCCGGUCCCUCUUUGGAAUAAGAGACGAUUCGAUCGGGUGACAGUUCCCGCAUAAUACCCCGUAUGACGACGCCCUGAUAAUGAUGCUGCUGCUUCUGCUGCUUCUGCGUACCGUGCGCCACCAUCAUCAUCGACGAGGAGCAGCAUUGGAUCUUACUCGAGCCGACGCGUAAGCUUUUCUAUGCGACCGCGCUCGAUCCACCGUCCGUUUUCGUCACUGCACCAAAUCUAGCCGUCGAACGGUCUGACGAGUUAAUCAAAAGCCUGUGAGCUGCUCCACAUCAGCCUGUUCGGCUACGACAGCACUUUCCUGUAAAAGCCGCCUCCCUCGCCGCCACGUGGAUUUAAUCCACUGGGGCCCGCUUCGACGGCGAACCUCAGCGGCUCGAUCUCGCGCGACGCUGUUUUGUGUCGUGAUGCGCGCGAAUCAGUGCCGCAGAGGCAUCAGACGCGCAAAUCUCGACGCAAAUCUCGCGGCAUAAAACACGAGAUAAUGGAAAGGAGAAAAUAUUUUUUAAAAAAUAAAAUAGAAGAAAAAAUACGGCGUCGGCGUCGGCGUCGUCGUCGUCCCCUCGUCAACCGCGCUUAGGAAGCCACGCACACCCAAACGUGGCGUCUCGGGGGUGCCAAAAUGACCGAAUUGCCCUCUGACUGGGUGCGUCGUUGUUGACAGCGGCGGAGGGGUAAGUGAGUAAUUAGGGGUCACAUUAAAUCGCCACCGAAACCGAUACGACGGUUCCAGAACCCUGACGGGCCCUUUUGACUCGCCUGUCGGUUUCCUCAAAUACUUAAUAUUUUGAUUCCAAAAAUAAUAAAACUAUAUAUUAUUACGCUCUCUUUUUUGCUUAAAAAUAGAAUGCUUUGGCUAUUAAGCAAAGGUUCGUGUGAAAAUUUUCCUCCAACGGAACCAACCUACACUCAGAAAUGCUACACUCACAAAUGCUACACAAUAAAUUACUUUAUAAAAUGAUGCCAACGCGAGCAGCUCAUGCUAAGUCCACUGCAUAUAUAUUUAAGUGAGAAAUAUACUAUCUGCGCACUAAUAAAUAAAAUACUUCUAGUAAUAAAAUGCAAAAUUUAUAUCUCAACCAUUCAAAAAUUAAAUUUUUUUUAUUAAAUUUUAGUAUUAAAAUUAAAAAUUAUGAUAUAACUAGUACGGUAAAAAUAAGAGUGAAAAGUGUAGUCUACACUCAAUUUAAUUUACACUAUUAAAAUGUAAAGUGAGAUUAUAUUAAUUUUUGAAUUUUUAACUGUAAAACGUGUAUUCUAUAAUAAAGGAAUCCGAAGAUAGAUCUUUUUUCAUGAAUGGGAUUUUUCAGUGCUUGCGCCAAGCCUGCGGAAAAAUCCGGUUGUGCUAGUGUAGCAGAGCGCCGCGUGGGUGAAAAUUUUAAAUAAAAAACAAAAAAAAAGAAAAGAGAUCGCCUCGUGAAGUCGCGAGGUGACGCGAGCGAAGAGGCCGCGUGGGACCGACACGUGGGAACUCGUCCCCGCUCCGCGCCGUUGGAGGGGGGGAAAAGUGCAGAGGAGACGCGACCAAUUUACAGAAAAGGUGAGAGAGAUAUGCAUACAUUGUUGUCAGAUGUGGACCGCGACGGCGUGCGUGAGCGUGAGAUUCUAACCACGCCUUUCCAUUCGUUUCUUACGGGCUAUGCCUACGUAUUACGGACAUUUUUAUAAAACUUUGGCACAGUCGAAUCGAACAUUUGUGUCCGUGUCAAAUACGAGUUCAAUAGAUAUUUUUUGAAUGUGAAUUUAAUAUUAAUUUGUUAUAUAAAUAGUAUUAAGCUAGAAUAUUACUAAUAUUAUUUAUUUUUUUUACUAUUAAAUUUUAAAUUUUUAGAUCAAAAUUUUUAAUUAUUUUUAAUUAUUAAAUUAAAUAUUAUAAUUCAGUAGAGACCAUUCAAUCCGAAAAGAUUAAUAUUAUUUUAAUACUAUAAUUUAUCAUCUAAGAAUUAAGAAUUUGAUAGUAAAUGGAGAUAAAUACUAUCAAUAGUAUUACAGUCCAACUCAUUAAAAUAAAUAUAUAGUUAUAUUUAUUUUAUUUUUUUAUGUAUAUAUAAUGUAAAAUAAUAAAUAAUUUAAAUUUUUAAUAAAUACAUAUAAUUUUUUUGANAAUUAAGAAUUUGAUAGUAAAUGGAGAUAAAUACUAUCAAUAGUAUUACAGUCCAACUCAUUAAAAUAAAUAUAUAGUUAUAUUUAUUUUAUUUUUUUGUAUGAUGAAAUUUUAAAAAAAAAGAUUAUAUGAACUAUCAAUAAAAAUUUUACAAAUUUUUAUUCGUAUAAAAAAUAUAAAAAUAUAUUACCAAAAUUAAUAUUUUAUAUAUAAUAAAAAUAUAUUAUUAUAUUAAUAAUAUUAUAAUUUAUUAGUGGUGUUUAUGUCGUGUCAGUAUUCUACUAUUUUGAAAGUUGCCGAGUCGCGAUAUGUGAAUCGUAUUCUGCUCCUUGUCAGUGUCACUAACGCUUAACUUACGGCAAAAGCAAAUUAUAGUGGAAACACCUUGCGCGGUCGCAGUAGCGCUUUUAUACGGAAAACAAUCAGCUUGAGCCCGGGUCUCCAACAUUUUGUCCCAUCCCCACCGGGCGCGGAAGGGGUUUUUAUUUUUUAUUUUUUUUGCCUUUUCUAACUAAAGCAGUUAAGAAAAUAAAAUACUGAAUAUGAAAAGAAAUUAAGUGCACAUAAAAGCAUUUCAUUUUCACAAAUAUUUAUUUUUAAAAGUGCAAUGCUCUUGGUACAAUAGUUUCAUUAAUUUUGAGAAAGUUCUAAAUAGUUAAAUAAUAGAGUGCAAGUUUACACCCUAAAAUAGAGUGUAUAGAUUUUUUUUUUUUUUUGAGAGAUUGGUAGCACGCUAUCCGUUUCGUUUAUUACAUUUAGAAAUAAACUUAGCUGGAAAUGUGAAUCAACUAGGAUUUGGGCUUGGGUCUCGGAUAUCAACCACCAAACCCUUUGCUACUUGCUUUAGGGACGGUCAGUGAGUGUAUAGAUAUUAUUUCUACGGAAAGUUUAGUGGCCGAAGGUGUAAUUUACUCUAUACUGAUGCUGGGGCCGUAUUCACAUUGGACCAAGGUCGGUCCAGUUUUCAAUAUAAGCCCACUUUUAGCACAGGCCCACUUGCUAACGGACCGUCCCAAGCCAUUUCACUGGUAAUGGCCCUGAAUUUUUUUUUCUUUUUUUUAAGAGAGAGUUGUAGUAUACUACUCGCUUCAUUUAUUUUAUUUAAAAAUAAAUUUAACUGGAAAUAUGAAUUAAUUAAGAUUCGAACUUGGCAACUCGGAUAUCAACGACCAAGCGCUUUGCCAUUUGCGCUAGCAAUGGCCCUGAAUUUUGUUUGUAGGAUGGUUAGGGGGCUGAAUUUUGCUUGAUCUAGCUUGGUGCGCAUGCAACGCGUAAAAAUGCCGGAACUUUGGCUUUACUGCAGCAGGAAGCUAAAAGCUUCUAAGCUCUAGAGCCGUGAGGUCUAAUUAAUUUGGCAUUUCUGAUUUUGUUGUUGUUUGGUUCGAUAUAAUUAUAAAUGCAGUAUAUUUGCAGAUACGUAUAGUUAGGAAUAUAAAAAUUAUAAUUAUAUUUAUUUUAUUUGGUUAGGCAUAGUAAAAAGCGCUGUAACGAUGCAUAAUUUACUUGGUUGCAAUAUAGUUGAGAGAUGCGUUUACAAAUUUUGUUAUUUUGUGUCAUGUCUAGUGGGAUUAUUUUAAAUGCAGGGGAAAAUAUAUUUUAUUAAAAAAAGUUAUUACGGAGGUAAAUUUAUUUUUUAUUUAAACUAAUUUUAUCCGCUUUUGUAGUUGAAACUGUGACCAAUAAGAGUGUAAUUUCUAUUGCUAACUGUCAAAUUUAUAUAAUUUUGAACAAAAUAUUGUAUUUAGAUCUUCAUAUAAUAGUUACAAUUGUAGUGUAAUUGUAACUACGUGUAAUCAACGGACCUUGAAGUUCAGAGCGUCUUUGUUUCGAGAUAAGUGAGUGAAGUGCACUGUAGACUAAGUCAUUAAUUAUCUCAUUUUUAUUCUCUUGUUUACUCGUUUGAGAGUUGCUGCGCAAAUAGUCAAUACCUAACGCCUGCAUUUAUAGUACCAAAUAUUGAAUUCUUGUGGUUGUUAAAUUCAACGUAAAACUUUGGUGCUAACAGGAAAUCACUUAGGCUUAAUUAAUAGACGAAGGCAUAAGUCAAUUUCACCAUUGUAUACUAGUUUUGUUAAAAUAAAUAACAAAACUUGUAACUUACACAAAAGUAGUUAAGUUCCCUUUCUCUACUUACGUUAAAAUCAAUAUAUAUUAAACAAAAAGGCUAUGAAUGAAUGAAAGAGUUAAACAAGUAGUUAAGUUCCCUUUCUUUGCACAGCAAUAUUAUACCGAAUAUAUCUCAAACCAACUAUAUAUACUGUGUUAUGGUCAAUAGAGAAAAAUCUAAUGAGAGAUAGUACGUUGAUUAUAUAUUGAAAUGAUACUCUAAAAAAGUUUGGAUUAACGGAGCUGGUUGAUCAUCGAUUUAAAAACUGUAUUAUUGAAAAUAACUUGGUAGCACAAAUAUCUCUGUGCUACCGAAAGUACACCAGCCUUUAAUGGAGCUGGUUGAUCGUCGAUUUAAAAGCUGCAUUAUUGAAAAUAUCUUGGUAGCACAAAUACCUCUAUGCUAUUGAAAGUAUACCAGCCUUUAAUGGAGCUGGUUGAUCGUCGAUUUAAAAGUUGCAUCAUUGAAAAUAACUUGGUAGCACAAAUAUCUCUGUGCUACCGAAAGUACACCAGCCUUUAAUGGAGCUGGUUGAUCGUCGAUUUAAAAACUGUAUUAUUGAAAAUAACUUGGUAGCAUAAAUACCUAUGUGUUACCGAAAGUACACCAGCCCCUCAAUCUCUCUCUCUCUCUCUCUCUCUCUCUCUCUAUAUAUAUAUAUAUAUAUAUAUAUAUAUAAACUGUUAAUUUUAACACUUAAACUUUUUCAACUUUAUUAAAUAAUUUAAUAGGCUUGUUUCUUCAAUGGAAAUGGCAAAUCUAUUAAUUUAUUAUCUUUUUUAAUUUUAAUAAUUAAAUAUGAAAAUCAAAAGAAUAGGAGGAAUUUAUUCUUGAUUGUUGUUGGUCUAUAGGCGACGUACUAAGCGUGGUCCAAGCAAUACGAACGCGGAAAUUAUUGCCUCACAUGAUAUGGUCAUGGCCCCUGUGAUUCCAGCGUUAGCUGUCCCAUCUCCACCCGUGAACCCGUAACGGUGUACCAUUGUACCCAACUUAAUUACCAGCUAUGUAAACCAUUUUGAGUAAAUUAUUUAAUCAUUUAAAAUUUUGAUUUUUUUAAUCUUUUAAUUGUUCAAUUUGAAUUGAUAAAAAAUGCCUUAACUUUAAAAUUUGAAUAUGUCGUUUUUCUUUGUAGAUUUAGUUAAUAAAUUUCAUAUAAUUUUUCUAAUAAUAAAUUUAUUGAAGUACGCAAUAUAGUUUAUUGAAGUACGCAAUUAGUUUAAAUUUUGAAUUCAAACAGAUCAUUAACUGACUUAAAUCAAGCAAAUUGAAAGGUUUCGUAGUAAAAUUAAAAUUAAAAAAUAUUGGCUAGUCGACUCAAAGUUGUCCAUAUUUUUGGUAAGUUUUGUACAUUUGUAUGUUAAAUUUAAUUUUCUUUUACUUUUUUAAUUAAAAAAAUGAUAGAUAAGUGAGUUACUCUUUAUCUUUUAAAAGUUAUGGUAUAAACUUUAGACAUAUAUUAUGGCUGAACAUGCAAUUCUGCUAGCUCCCGUAAAGUUAAUCUGCCCAAAUAGGUUGAGUUUUUAAAAAUGUUAAUUUUACGUAUUAUUAAUGUACUUAUAAAUCUAUAUCAUCCUUUUAGAGUAUAUGUAUAUGAAAUAAUCAAAACAGUAUCUAUUCUGAGUAAUUGAAUAUUAAUAACAUAUCAACAAUAUAUAAAGAUAAUAUAUGAAAUAUUUGUAGUAUGCGCGCAGUACUUGUUGCACCAAAUAUGCCAAACAGCAAUUGCUGCCUCUACUAUCACCUUUUAGUUGUAAUCUUACAACACCCUCAUCUAAAGGCCAUAAGUAUUACACUAAUCUUCUCAUUUUUCCUUAUGUUUAAUACUAAAAAUGCAAAAAAGGUUGACUAAAUUCUAGAGGUGAUAUUAUAAAAUUGGGAUGAAGCGUUGUGUAGAUUACAGUAGAAUUAGGGUGUUUUUCCAAGUAUGCAGAAUUUUGAAUUUAUAAGUUAUUUUUUGAUGAAGAGACUUUUGAAAUCAACGAUUGACUAUGCUAUAUUUGAUUUAUAGUAUUUAAAAGAUUUUAAAAAAUAAGUUUUAUAGUUUUUUAAUAUUAUUUACCGAGUAGACAAUGAUCUUAAAAUUAAUGACUAAAAAAAAAUAAUUUUAUAAAAUUUGAUGAUAUAACAAUAAAAUGUAAGAUCAGAUAUAGUGAUCUUAUUUUAGAGAUUAUAAAAAAAAAUUGUCAAAUUUUUUUUUGAUUUAAAUAUUUUUAUGUGGUUAAAUUUACAAAUAAAUUAUCAAGUAUUAAAAUUAUAAAUUAUAAGCCAUUUUGAUCACUAGAGAGAGAUGGAGUGUUGGAAAAAAAGAUAAAGUUCACAUCCACAAAAAUACAUAUAUUUCUACCGUCAACUUUGGGGUGUGAAUCUUAGAUUUCUUUCGUCGAAAAGUUUUAGACAAGUCUCUUAAAAUUUGAAUUAAAAAGUUUUUUUUUUUUUGAGAGAAAGGUAGCAAGCUACCUUCUUCAUUCAUUAAAAAUAUGAACUAGACUACAAGGGUGGGGCAGCGGGGGCCCCGGACGGCACGUUAGAAAAAAAAAAAAGAAAAAAAAAAAGAAAAGCACUAACUAGGGAGAAGAAGGUCCCACUCUUGCAUUAUCAGCUUAAAAUUUUGCGCGGCUUGCUCAGGGUUCGGAAGGAUCCUUCUAAAAAUCAAGUCGUUUCUUACCUUCCAAAUAGUCCACCAACUACCGACCAGAUCGGUAAGUCUGUUUCUCUUCGGGUGGACACCCUUCGUGUUUCUCCACCUAUCCCAAACUAGAUUCACGUCAACCCCCAGAUCUUGAUCUUGGAUCCCGUCCACUCCCGACACUAAGAGAAACUUAUAGAAGACGCACCGGGCAAAUAAAUGGUCCACUGAUUCUCCGACCCACAUAGCACAUAUGUCGAGUCAUCCACCCACCCUCUCUUUAGAAGUUUAUUGGUUGUGGCGUUUCUCUUCUUGAGUACCAACCAGACGAAUAUCUUGACCUUAAGUGGAAUUUUGAGGCUCCAGAUCGACAAUUCUCGUGCAUCCCUCGUGCCUCCGUCGGACAGCGUUAGGUAGGUCGAUCUUACCAAGAAAACUCCAUCUAGGCUCCAACGCCAUCGAAACCUAUCCUGUCCCUGCGCGACCGAGAAGGCGGAUAUCCUUUCGACAAACUUCAAUAUUCUAUCGUUCGACCCCUGAAACUGUCCAACCUCAGAUCCCAAGACCCUACUCCAGUUCCAUCCGUCCCUCAUGGUGCAUGCAUUGACUUUAAGCCCCUUCACCUCAGACAAGUUAAAAAUCUCAGGGAAUGCAUGGUUUAGCAUGUUCUCUCCACACCACCGAUCAAACCAAAAGUCAAUGGUGCUUCUGUCACCAAGCGUAAAAGCCGUGCCCCAUUUGAAGAUUGUGCUGAGGCCGAGGACUCUCGUCCACCAGGAUGAGUGGGGUCUGAAAGUUUUUCCUUCCCUCAUUGGUUUUCUCCUUCGAUAGUAUAAGUCUCGGAUUAACUUGUUCCACUAUAACUGGGGUUUCGUGCGGAAUUUCCGCCACCAUUUUGUCAAUAAAGUUUGGUUCAUGAUCGCUACAUCUAAGACUCCUAACCCCCCCUUUUUUUUUACUCUUGCAAACGUUCUUCCAAGCUAUCAAACAAUCUUUGCCCGGCGAAUUGCUCCCCCCAUUCCAAAAGAAGUCCCUUCUUAAAGCUUCAAUGCGCUUUAUCACCCACUUGGGUGCCUUGAAUACCGAUAGAAAGUAUAGGGGUAAGUUGGUUAGAACAGCGUUAACCAAUAUGAGUCUCCCCCCCUAAACAGUAAUUUGGCUUGCCAACCGUCAAUUUUCCGCUGUAACUUUUGAACAACCCCCCUCCAUGCCUCCUUGGACGGCGGUCUUGGAGAGAGAGGUAAGCCCAGGUAGUUGGUUGGGAAAGUACCAACUCUGCAAUCCAAAACAUUCGCUAGCCUAUUAGCUUUUCCCUCUUCUUGAUCCAGAUAGAACAUUUCCGACUUCUUCGUAUUGACUUCCAAACCCGACGCCUAUUCGAAGAGAUGCCAAAGGAAUUUGAGGUUUCUCAGAUACGUUUUUCUUGCCACACAGAAAGAAAAGGUGUCAUCUGCGAACUGAAUGAGCGUGUUCCUACUAGCCUCUGAUAGCCCAAUACCCUCGAUCAGAUUAUUGUUGACCGCCUGGUUUGUCAUACGAGCUAGACUUUUCGCCACUAACAGGAAGAAGAACGGGGAGAGCGGAUCCCCUUGCCUUACACCUCUCGUGGUUUUUAUCCAGUUGGUCGGCUCACCGUUUACUAGCACCGCAACUUUUGCGUAACAUAUACAUAAAAGCGACAAAGUUUUGUAAAACUAUUGCCCCUCACAUGAAAAGAAUAUAACAUUUAUAUUUAUAUUUGUACGUACAAAUAUAAUGAUGAAAAUAAGUGUUUACGAAGUCAAUGAAGUUAAUUGGCAACAGGAAAGUUGACUUUCUCAUGGCAAGUAGGUGUAUGGGUGCGACAUAAAGAGGCUAGCUUGACCCGGAUCUCCUCCCGAAGAAACGGCUUGUUCUCAUUCUAAUUCAAACUAUUAUUAAUUUCAACUAUUGCAGGCACAGCAAUAAUAUAUAGGGGAAAUUUCAAAUACCUUCUCUUUGAUUCCGCACGUUUUUACUUUAGUACUAUAUGGUUUCAAGCGUACCAAAUUAGUAUCCUAUACUUUCAUACUUUUUUAUUUUAGUAUUCUGUGGUUUAAUAUUUCGUUAAAUUAUAUAUUCCGAAAUGGAUAAUAAAAAGAGAAAAUUGAAACCACAGGAUACUAACUUGAUAUACUUAAAAUAUAGGGUACUAAAGUGAGAAAUUGCGAAACCAUACGGGGAUAUUUGAAAUUUUUCCUAAUAUAUAUACCUUUUUACGUGAAAACUGAGUAUAAAUUUUAUAUCAUACUUGUCCAAUAAUUUAUGCAUAUCUUAAUUUCACCCUGCUGCAAUAUAUUUUAGUUUUCUUUUUUUUUUAAGGGUAAAGUGACUCGCUAUCCGCCUCAUAGAGAAAGUAAAUAAGGCUUCAAGGAUUAGACAUUCAAGGCCUCGGAAUGUGGUGGGGUUGAAUUGCUGAGAGAGUGAGAGGAGAUGGUCCCAAGAUUUUCAGCACACAGCCGGAAAAAAUAUUUUAGUGAUAUUCUCNUCCAAUAAUUUAUGCAUAUCUUAAUUUCACCCUGCUGCAAUAUAUUUUAGUUUUCUUUUUUUUUUAAGGGUAAAGUGACUCGCUAUCCGCCUCAUAGAAAAAAAAAAAAAGAAAAAAAAAAAAAAAAAAAAAAAGCUACGGAAUGUGGUGGGGUUGAAUUGCUGAGAGAGUGAGAGGAGAUGGUCCCAAGAUUUUCAGCACACAGCCGGAAAAAAUAUUUUAGUGAUAUUCUCAUUUACUAUAUUAUACAAUUUUUUUUUUAUGGGUAUUAAUAUAUUAUUACAUUUUAUUAAUGUCUUCAUUAUAUUUUAAAUUAUUUUUACUUAUCUAUCUUGUACUAUUUUCUUUCCUCAUGGAUAUUACUAAAUUAUUUUUUUUUUUCGUCAAUCUCUGUAUUAUUAGAAACAAAUUUAUUAUUUUAUAAAAAAAAUAUAACAAUUUUAUUAAAAGAUACUAGUUAAAUAGUUUUAAAAAAAAGGAUAAAUCCCCAUGAUAAACUCAUUAAAAGUUUAUAUCAAGUUAUUUUUAGUUAUUUAUUAUUAUUUUUAUAUAUUUUAUUGGAUUUAUGUUAAAAUGGGUUGAAUAUAUACUCUGACAUUUUUAAUCAGUAUUUUUUAAUAGAUAUUAUAUAAAAUUACAGAUUUAUUGUCUAUAACGUAAGAAUUAGACAAAAAAAGAGAAGAGAAUAGUUUAGUGGUAACCUUGACAAAAAAAAUAGUACAGUACUGUUGGAAGUAAAAAAACUUGUAAACUAAAGUGUAGUAUAGUAUCAGUAAGCCUUUAUAUAUAUUCAGACUAGUCUUAUCAACAUUUUUGUAAAAUAAAAUUUCGAAAGAGGUCUUCAAAUACAAUAUAUAUAAAUAAAAUAUAUUAUUCUACUAGAUUAUAGAUAUUAGAUCUUCAAAAAAAAAAAAAAAUCAAACUCCUUAUUUAUAAUUAUUUACAAGUGUCUUACGGAUCUAGAGAAUGUGGGAUUGAAUCUAAAUAAAUAAAUCAAGUCAAACUUUGAACCAGUAAACUAUAUUGGAUUCGGAUGUACGUGGCAUCUGAAUUUUUAAACAUUAUAAUCUGUGCGCCCCAACGAACGCCAAUUUUACUUGAGGAUAUAUUGAGGGAGCUAAGGGUCCAAUUAACGACGACUAAGUUGGUGAGAACCCUUUUUCUCAAAAAAAAAGAGUUGGUGAGAACCCCUACUUCUAUAUAUAUAAACCCAUCCAAAUUCAUUGGUCAUAACACAGCCCACAUAUCGAUUCAAUUCCAACAAUAUGGAACUGCUUCAAUUCCACCACUAUCUCCUCCUCCUUAUCUUCCUAUUUUUAUUUCUCAAACUCAUUACAAACUCUAUGCAUAAGUCCAAUUCUAAAAACCUUAAUGCUAGGCUUCCCCCCGGGCCGUCGAAGCUUCCGAUCAUCGGUAGCAUGCACCACCUCCUCGUCGGGACCUUACCGCACAUCACUCUAAGGAACCUCUCCAAAAUUUAUGGCCCUCUCAUGCAUUUGAAGCUCGGUGAAGUAUCCACCGUUGUCGUCACCUCUCGUGAGAUUGCCAGAGAGCUUUUUACGACUCACGACCUCAAAUUCGCGUCGAGGCCUAACAUCAUAGCUGCAGAUAUUGCUAUCUACGGUGGCAUGGACAUCCUUUUCGCUCCCUACGGAGCAUAUUGGAGGCAAAUUCGGAAAAUUUGCGUCAUGGAAAUACUAAGUGCUAAGCGAGUCCUCUCUUUUCGCCAUGUUAGAGAGGAGGAGGUCCUCGAUCUCGUAAAACAAAUCAAUUCGAUGUCGUCUUCUCAUUCAACUGCUAAUCUGAGCGAAAUGCUUCAUUCGUUGACGAACAAUAUCACUUCGAGGGUCGCUUUUGGGAUGAAGUGCAAGGAUGUAGGUGAGUACUUAAAGGCCAUGAAGGAAGGGUUGGAGUUAGCUAGCGGUUUCAAUGCGGCCGACCUUUUCCCGUCGGUGGGGUUGCUCAUUAGUUCGGUCACUGGAAUGAGGCGUAAGCUCGAAAGAUGUUGCAGGACGAUUGAUACAAUCCUCGAAGCUAUUAUCGAGGAACGGAGAGAAAUUUGGGCAAGUAUGGUGAAGGUUCGCGAAGGCGAGGCAGUCGAAGGGAACAUCCUUGAUGUUCUUUUUAAUCUCCAAGCUCAAGGUGGACUAGUUGGUUUCCCUUUCACCCAAACUACAAUUAAAGCUGUGAUAUUUGUAAGUGUUUCAAUUUGCUUUUUACACUUAUCUUUACAAGAAUUAAUCUAGCAGGGUAAAUAUAGUUUAGAUAUCCUCCAUAGUGUUCACGUACGUAAGCCUUUCGAUAGUGAUCGUAUUAUGUGUCUCUAGGACAUCUUUGCCGCCGGGAGCGGCACCGCAGCGUCUUCCAUGACAUGGACCAUGUCUGAGCUCAUAAGGAACCCGCGAGUCAUGAAGAAGUUGCAGGCCGAGAUACGAGAAGCACUUCGUGGAAAAGUGAGUGUUUCCGAAGAGGACAUCACCAAUUUGAGCUACCUACAACUUGUGAUCAAGGAAUCCCUCAGACUCCACCCUCCCGCGCCGCUUCUGGUCCCGCGAGAGUGCACUGAGACGUGCAAAAUCAACGGUCACAUCAUUCCAAAGAAAUCGAGAGUGAUCUUCAACGCAUGGGCUAUGGGUCGGGACCCCCGGUACUGGGACAACCCUGAGGAGUUCAAGCCGGAGAGGUUCGAGUCGAGCUCGGGCCCAAUCGAUUUCGUGGGGAGUAGCUACGAGUACAUACCAUUUGGAGGGGGGAGGAGGAUUUGUCCCGGGGUGCAUUUUGGGCUAGCUACCAUGGGGCUAACAUCGGUGCAACUUUUAUAUCACUUCGAUUGGGGUUUGCCCCAAGGGGUGAGUGAGCUCGACAUGAGCGAGUCACCCGGGUUGGGUGCGCGUCGCAAAUUUGACCUAUGCCUUCGUGCAACCCCUUAUGGUCCCGCAUACGUGUUAAAUUAAAUGUGUUAGUUUGUGUGUGUUUGCUUUGUAGCUUAGUUAGGUGAUGAUUAUUAUUUACAGCCAUAGCUUACUUUGUUGAUGGUUAUUAUUUAUGGCCGUAACGCCUUAGAUUUAUGUGAAAAAUCAAGUGAGCAGAACAUCGGGUUUAUUUAAAUAUAUUUAUCAUUGUCGUGGUCGUCGAGAAUGUGGAUGGUAAGAUUUAGAAACAAGUCCCCUGGGGAGAGUUUUUACCCUGGGGAGAGUUUAUGUAUAAGAAACACAUGAUUAUUGACUUUUGGUGAACAAAUAGCUCGUGAUUUUUUUUCUUUUUUCAUUUAUUUUUGUGACUGUGAUUAUUAAGUACAUAAUUCUGGCUAAAUAAGCACUUAACCAAUUAUUAUAAUGACUAGCUACCUAGACUAGAGAUCCAUAGAAUAAUGGGCAUAAAGCAUGUGAAUUAUCUAACAAUUUCAAUCGAUAGCCCACUUUAGCCUUUUAUUUCUGCGUUGCGUUCAAUUUUAUAAGUACAUUUCUAAUUAAAUUAAGUGUUGAAAUAAAAACAUACAGUAUAUAGGAUGCGUCUUUUAUAAGCUGCAUAUUUACACACCUUUGUAUCGUGAGCCAUGUGCCCUUCUUUUUUUAAAAAAAAAACAAAGCUAAAACUUUAUUUCCAAAAUCCCCACUGAGGUGCUGAGAUAAUAUAUAUAUAUAUAUAUAUAUAUAUAUAUAUAUAUAUAGAACUAGGCUACUAUGCUAUUAAUAGCACUAAGUCAUUGGUGCUACCAAGUUUUUGGCCAUUGGAUUAAGAGAUGGACGGUUAGGAUGAUGUGGGCCCCCUAGGGUUGAGUGGGUGGUUGGUUGAAUAGUAUGAUCUAACGGAUGAAAAUGAUCAAAAUGGUAGAUCUAACAGCGGAAAACUUGGUAGCACCAAGUGCUUCGUGCUAUUAAUAGCAUAGUAGCCGGACUCUAUAUAUAUAUAUAUAUAUAGAGAGAGAGAGAGAGAGAGAGAGAGAGAGAGAGNAUAUAUAUAUAUAUAUAUAUAUAUAUAUAUAUAUAUAUAUAAAAUUUAUUAUUAAAAAUAAAGAGGUUUUUAUUUUUUGGCCCCUUUUGAAAAAACAAAGUUUUGCCGUGCGUGCAGGUGUAGCUACACGAUUAAUUGCUUAUCACGUAAUACUCACCAAUACAGGUGAAUGAAUUAUAGUCUACUGUGGUCGAGGUGCAAACUAAAUACUGCGCCGCAAACGUUUACUUCCUUAAAUGGCUCUCAAGGAUUAAAAGAUCAACACUUCCACACACAAAAAAAGGGUGCAAAUAUAGAUUACCAUAGAUUACCAUUUGUGGGCGAUGAUGAAGACCAUCUCAACGCUACUUUUGUUGACAAGUAUAGAUUACUAUUAACACACCUGAAUGAAAUAUUCGGGCAUUGGAAUUUUUUAUACACUGGAUCUACAAACAAUCUAGACCCGAAAAUAUUUAAAAGUCAUAGUGCACCUUUUUGACCUGCUAAGGUCAAUAUUACAAAACAAAGUCAACAAUUAUGGCCAUUAUUAUUAUAAAAAGUGUUAAAUGCAUUCAUAUCCCUGUAAAUAUAAUAAAUUACAAAUAUACUCCUACAAAAUUCAAUUAUCAUAUGUUAUCCCCGCAAAAUUUUUAAUAUUUUAAAUAUGUCUUUUUUAUAUGUUAUCGUUAUAAAAUUGUUUAUAUUUUUAGUGAAAUGUCAAUUUUGCCAUCAUGAAUAUGUCUCUCCAAAAGCCACAACAGUAUAAUAUAAGAAAGAUAAAAAUGUCGAGUUAUCUCAUAAAUUAACGAGAGUUAAGUAUUUAACCUAUGUUUAAUUAAAAUUUUCCAACAGAUUCUAAUGGUAGGGAUAUAUUUGAAAACAUUAGAAUUUUUACAGAAAUAAUAUAUGAAAGUUGAAUUUUACAAGAAUAUAUUUGUAAUUCACUAUAUUUGUAGGGAUCUGUAUAAAAUUAACCCUUAUAAAAACUGCAACCUUCAACAAAUCUACCCAACUUCUUUUUCCUCUAUGAUUAGCAUAUAUGGUUGGUCUAGCUUAUAUAAUGAACUCAUAAUCAACCCUGCUGAUGAGAUAAAAUUAAUUGUCGUUCACUAUACUUUGCAAACGAAGUAAAAGAAAAGAAUAAAGACCCACAAAAAAAACCUUUACAUGAAUUUGAAAAAAAAAAAGUUAUAUAGGAUCCGCCUACGUGCAUGGGAACGCGCCUUCUAAAAGCUGUCAUGUGGCGUUGCAUGGGAUGUGCAUCGCAAAGGUGAAUUGGGAGCCGUCUGAUAAGCCACGUGGUACUGCAACGACUCCCAUGUGAUACAGUGUCGGAUGCGUUCUACAAAUUAAUUUAAUUUUGUCUCAUUGAUUUUUUUUUUUUUUUUUUUGAGAGAUAUAAAUAACACGCUAGCUGUUUCGUUUAUUUAAUUUAGAAAUAAAUUUAGCUAGAAAUAUGAAUUAACUAGGAUUCGAACUUGGGACCUCGGAUACCAACCAUCAAGCCCUUUGCCACUUGCUUUAGGGACGGUCGGUCGUCUCGUAGAUGUUGAAUGCUGUUUUAAACUCAAGCUUGGUAUUAUUGCAAUUGCUGGUUAAUAAAUACAAAUUCUUGAAAGAAAAUAGAAAACCAAAACCUAGAUUAAUUGGUAAACAUAUCCAAUUAAGCGUAUAAUCCAAUUUACAAACAAACAGUUUUUUAGAAAUCGACUCAUAACUUGUUCUUCAGUUCCACCAUCUUGCAUCGAUGGAACCAUCCGUACAUUUUAUUUUUCCCUUUCCCUAUAUGUUUACUUAAUUACCCUCUCUAGCUAACUCAGAACAAUGGUUUCCAAAGAAAAAAAGAAGAAGAAAAAAAGAAAAGAAUCUGUCAAUAAAUGGAAAGAUUUUUAUGCAAACUGUUGUGCGUUGACGACGAUCGCGCUAUCACGAAUGGAAAUCUAGCAAUUUCCGCCUUGGAUGUUAGGGUUGUGUGUGCAUCCUGACGGCUGCGAAGAAGUUCCGGAAUUCUUCGGAAGAGACUGAAAGAGAAGGCCAACGCUCCGAGUCCACGACUCCCCCUCCAACAGCCUCGCCGCCAUGAUAAGAUUCAAGCUCGCGACGACAAGAACAAGAAGCAACAACGCUCUCGCGGAGUACAUCGCCAUCUCUUUAAUCGCAAUAAACUAAAACCAAAACACAGAACGCAAAAGCCGAAGCAGAAGCAGAAGCAGAAGAAAUGGAAAGAAUAUAUGAACUUUUGGUAUAUAGAAUCCAAGUAUAUUGAUUCUUAUGUUGGAGCAGAUGCUGUUAUAUGUGGUGGAGGGGGAUUGAGUUGAUUUUAUAGCACUUAGGGGGUUAUCAUAAACACAAGUAGGUGUGUGUGAGUAUACGUGUUUUCGUGCCUUUUGCAUGAGUUUGAAGUCUAAUAAGAGAGGUUUAUUUUUUCCCGUUCUAAAUAAAUGACUAAGUCUGCAGUCGUAGACACGGCUUUGUUUUUUCUUUAUGUUUGAAAAAACAAAGUCGUGCGAUUGUGUAACGUGAUUUUGCUGUUGCUUUAUAUACCCGCAGAAACGGGGUGUGUCCAUGUCGCACGGAUACGCAUGACCUCUGUUAUCCAAUUAAUUACACUCCAAAUUCCAUUGUUUUUGUUGGAAAUAAUAGGCCACGUCUGAUGAGGAUAUGGUUAAAUUAUAACUUGUCAAUAUGGACACAUCAUAUGGCAACAGUUUUCAACCCAUAAAUUUUUAUUUUGCAAAUUUGUUACUCAGGAGAUUAAUUUGCACGCAUGACUUUGAAAUUAUAAAUUGUCAUAUAUAUAUAUAUAUAUAUAUAGUUCGGCUAUGGUGCUUGUAAAACCACCAAGCACUUGGUGCUUGAAAAUUUUUUAUCGUUAGAUCUACAUUUUUGAUCAUUUUCAUCCGUUAGAUCAUACUAUUAAACCAACCACUCACUCAACCCUAGAGGGCCCACAUCAUCCUAACCGCACAUUCCUUAAUCCAAAAGCCGAAAACUUACAAGUAUCAAUGACUUGGUACUUUUAAAAACAUAGGAGCUCAAUUCUAUAUAUAUAGAGAGAGAGGGAGAGAGAGAGAGAAAGAGAGAUUAAUUUUAUAUAUCUUUCUUCUAGGUGUCGUCGUGUACAUUAAAAACUUACUGAUUAUUCAAUCACCACGGCAGAAUGCGCAACGAAAUUAAUCAAGUAAUAUAUUUGAUCAAAUUGAUCAGCAAUGAUCAGAUUCAAUAAAUUUAAUUUUAAUGUUUAGAUUAGCUUUACUAAUAGUACUAUCUUUAUUAUAUAAUAUAUAAAAUUCUACAAUAGUCAUAAAACGUUAACCUUUGAGGUAAUUAAUUAACUACAAGCCAUCAGGUGCCCAAGGCUGAUCACAGCCACUCAUCACAUAAAAAACCGCGGAGAAUCUAACGGCAGCGAUUGAAUGUCUCAGCACUAGUAAACACGUCAUGUUAAAUAACGACAUGGACGUGGACAGAUUCAACUGCGAAUAGCGCCUUUAAUUAAUUAAAAGCCCGGUUGUUGAAUUGACUCCGUCCUACGCGCGGUUAAUUUAUGGGACUUGCACUGACCUUGACCUUGCUCGAUCGGUUGGGUCAAAAGUAUGUAUGUAUAUGUAUACUGAGAAAAACCAAGAACGUAAAAUGUGCGGCGCAUUCAUUGUUCAAUAUAAACAGGCGGUUCCUAACGUAAGUGGCAAGAAUUUAUUGAUUAGUAUCUCAGAUCUCAAAUUCGAAAAUUAAUUAUUUCACAUUUUUAAAGUCUUUGAAAAAUAAGAAUUAUUGAUAACGAUAUUAGAACGAACGACUCCGAAUUCGAUUUCCAUCUGACUCUUUUUUCUCAUUCAGCCUCAUAUAAUUAUAUCAUACCAUAACACGCAUCCUAAUAAUAAUCAUAAUAAUAAAUUUUUUAUUAUUAUUAUGUUGAUAGUGGUGCAAAAAUAAUACCAUAAUCCUAAUAAUAAUCAUAAGUAGAUAGUGGUGCAAAAAUAAUAAUCGUAAUAAUAAUAAUAAUAAUAAUAAUAAUAAUUUUGUUGUUUUAGAGUUUAGAGAUUUCAAUAAACUUUAAAAGCACGCAUCCUAGAGAUUUUUUUUUCUUUAAUUUAAUACCGUAACACGACCGAAAAAAUAUUUGAUGUGAUAUAUUGUUUUUUUUCCUUGAUCAUUUUCAUCGCUAGUUAGUAAGUAGCAACAGACUACAAAGAAGAGUACUUAAUUACAAGAUCUCUUACGUUACUAAAAUUCCAAUUCAGAAUUUUAUGCAUUAAAAUCAUUUAUUAGACUACUUCUAGUUUUCCCGUGGAAUAACUCAACUUGUUCAAACAUAGACUCUGAAAUCGAAUCUGCUUAGCAUAACCAAGUGUGGUAACACUUCUACUUUAUUAGUUAUUAUCUCGUUUCGGUGAUAAAUUUUUGGGUAAACAUCAAAUACCAUUCCUGUAGUUUCACACUUUCUCACUUUAAUAUUUUUGUGGUUUAAAGUAUAUACAGUUAGUAUUCUGUGGUUUCAUUUUUAUCUUUUCGUCAGUUUUUCCGUUAAUAUUUCAUUAAAUUAUAUACAAAAAACUUCAGAUAUCACACUUAGGUUUAUUGAAUAUUCAUUUUAGUACUCUUUAGUUUUAACUUUGUUACAGAUUUAACGAAAAAAAUUAAUAAAAUUGAUAAUAAAAAGAUAAAAAUGAAACCACAAAACACUAAAUUCAUAUAUGUUAAAACACAAGGCACUAAAGUGAGAAAAUAUGAAACUACAAGAGUGGUAUUUGAACUUUUUCCUAAAUUUUUAGAGCUCGCUAGCGAACUGAGCCUAAAGCAUCUACUAUCUGGCGGGUUCAACCUAAUUAAUUAACCUGGUGCUAAAAUUUAUUUUUUAGAGCUCACAUCUUAAACGGGAUAGCAUUAUAAUUAAUAUUUAUUAAGCUAUAUGCUCUAUGAACUUGCAUUUAACCUGGUGUUAAAAUUCUUGUAAUCAACUGUUAAUUUAUUAAUAGUGAUCCUAACCAUACGAUGAAUUGGAGUUUCUCAGAUUUGAAGUACACUUUUCUAAGGUGUAUUGAUUAGACAAUUAGACUAAAAUAUAGCACGGAUCAAAAAUGAAAGGUUAUCCAACUUGUAUUAAUGGAAUAUUAAGGCUCAUUUUGGCAAAUCUUGAUUCCAAUAUCUGAAACUUUGCUAACACGGUGUCUUGAUCAAGUAUAGUGAGUUCAUGAACAAAAAUCAAGUUGUUUAAUUCUCAGCCUUAAUGGGGUCGUAUUUGAAUCAGCUUCGAACCCAAUCUGCAAUUUUGGGCGGGAUCAAAACCAAAUCUAAUAGGUGCAAUGGCGGGUCAGCGACGCCAUAGAAAAUUUGGGCUUGAUUCGGAUACUUUAUUUCUUUGGUUGACAUGCCCUGAGAAUCGCAUGCACCUAAGUCAUGUACAGAAGAUCGAAUUUUCAAUUUGGAUCUCAAGUCUUUUUUCUUUUUUUCUUUUUUUUUUUUUUGAGAAAAAAAUAGCAAGCUGCCCACUUCAUUCAUUUGGUAAAAUGAACUAGGUAUAUAUUAUGGAAGCAACUGGAGCUUCCGAGGAAAAAAGAAGAAGAUACAGUAGCAAGGGUAUCAGGGUGAAAUGAGAGGAAAGCGGGAGAGCAAGGCGGGAGGCCAGGUCCGGCGAACGGGGGACGUCGGUCAACGAGGCUCGUCCCACGAGUUCAGGAGGAGGCUAACACGUUGUGGAGAGUGGGAGGGGGUGGAAUGUUUCUCUCUGGAGAUGAUAUUAUUCCGCUUGGUCCAAACCACCCACCAGGUGGCGGACAGCAAGGUCAGACCUUUUAUCCUAUUGAGUUUAUCUGCAACACUGAUGACCGAACUCCAAAGACCUCGAGCAUCCUCCGAAGAAUCUAAAAGUAUUUCCGAGCCGUGGAUGCAAAGAAGCAGAUAUUUGACAAAAACGCAAUUGCGAAAAAGAUGGUCACAGUUUUCCGUGCCCACGGCACAGAAAAUGCAAUGAGGCUCCACAAGUUGCCCGCUCUGAAGUAGUCUGUUGGCAGUGGGAAGUCUCCUUCGAAGUAGUAGCCAAAUGAAAAUUUUGAUCUUUAAAGAUAAUUUUGGCUUCCAGAUUUACGAGUACAUCGGGUCAAUCGUUCCGGAGAAUGAAAGGAAAGAGUAGGAUUUGACAGUGAACUUUUGUUUUGCUUCCCAGCGCUAGCUGGCGCAGUUAGGCCCGAAAUUUGGGGAGACAUUCUGGAGGAGGUCCUUGAACAUCAACAACUGUCGAUUCCCGUCAGGGAAAUUUAAUGCCACAAAACCGCGACAGAUGUAGCGCCAUCUCCAUCCGUGAGAAUUCCAGCACUGAGACACUCUUACAUCCUUCUUAGUUACCAUGUCAAAAAUACGGGGGAAUAAAAUGCGUAAGGAGAUCUUCCCAAUCCAGAAUUUGGAUCUCAAUCUAGGACAAAAAGGAUUGGAACUAAAAUCGCCACAUUGAAAGCGUAAGCAUGCUAAAUGAUCAGUACUUGAUAUAAUUGCAAAUAAUGGCAUGGUCGACAAAUAACGUGCCAUUCGAGUAAAAACAAAUGGUAGUAAAAAAAAAAUACAAACAUAAGCUAAUGUACCAGUUAAACGAAUGUUGCCAGUGCAACUAAUAUUAUAUCCAUUGCAAGCAAAAAUAAAAGGGAAGUGCAUAAAAAUAAGUCCACUCUAGCGUUAUAACUAAUUAUUGCAUACAUGAUGGCCCGCAAAAAUUAAUACGCCAUGCAAGAAACUCAAAAAAAGGAAGAAAGCUAUGCAAUAUUUACAUGCUAAUUGCAAAAUACAUAUAUCGAUCUACGCUAGUUAGGUGUCGGCGGAGCAGCGCAAUCACUACCGUAAAAGUUAUAGCUAUUAGAACACAUGGAAGGCCCCGAAGGCGGUAUCAGCCUCUUUGAAAGCGGCCCAACGUGCUUCUCAGUCUGCAGCAGAGACUCGUAUUUAAGUUCCCUCGCAGCCAUGGCCGGAGUGUUCUGCAUUAAGAUUGAGAUUGUCACGAAGAGAAGCAGCAGUAGUUUCUUCGACCUCUGAACCAUCAUUAGUAAGUGCUGAGCUGAGAGGAAAAACGAAUAUAUAUAAUGGACAAUAACUAUUAUUAUUAUUAUUAUUAUUAUUAUAAUUAUUAGAGUAAUAAUAAUAGCCUAGUGAAAAAAUAGUGGAAGGACGCCUACGAGGCGGAGGGGUGAGGGAAAGAGAGUUCGCUAUUUAUAGAGUUGUUUUUGUCGAGUUCAAAUUCGAAGUUGUUUCACGAAGCCACGUGUGGAAACAAAUUUUCCACAAGAAGAUCCAGAUUCUUAUCUGUAAUAACGAUAUAUCAGGUAGGGGAGUUUGAAUAUAUUCGAACUAGUUCCUCUAUUCAAAAAUCAAAUUUUAGAUAAGAAGCUCAAACGUCCUUUCCUAAUAUAUCUCUUGUACAGAAAAGAUAUAUGGAGGAGGCGGACAUAUCAUUUGAACAUAAUAUCGAGAGCACAUUUUUGAUGUUUGGAUUAAGACAAAAUGGUUAUACAUGGAAAUCCUAAUUAAAUCCCUAAAAAUAAGAAUUUCAUGACUAAGUUUGUUCUUUGUUGACUGGUUCGUACAAUGUUCGUUGUUAAUAGGUUCAGAUAUACAUUACAAGCAACUCAUAGUUCCAUAUUAUAACUAGUAGUUCCCUGUUGUUUCAUUUGCAACCUUAGUAUACCAACGGAAACUUCUUAGAACAUGAGAUCCGUAUUUUGUUUAUAGCUUCAAUUUACUUUUGCUUACAAAACAGGGUCAACAGUAUGUUGAGCUGCACUUUUUUUCUGGUAUAGUACAAACAACUAAAUGCUAUUAUACUGCCUCAAAAAGGAAUUCACACAACACGAGAUAACAACACUAAAUUGGCAAAAAUAAACAGAAAAAAUGUUUAGUGACUCGUGCUAUGUUACUUCGUGAUCGAAAUAUGUAAUCCAAAACUUAUUACGGGCAAACUAAGAAACAAGGGGAAAAAAAAGGUAUAGAGACAACCGUAAUAGAGAAUGCCAAAAACUUGAGAAGAAUCUAUUUGUAACGGGUACCCAUCAUGGGACAUCAACCAUCUCAUACAGAAGCAAGUCUCAAAAUUAAAGGCUUUAGUUGAACAUCAGAACUAGACAAAAAAGGAAGAAAGGAAGAAGAAGAUGAAGAACAUUCGCCCAGAAGCUCUCUAUAGCCAUCAUGGGUUGCUGAGCACAUUAGAGGUGACAGAAUACGGUUGUGCAGAUGCUUGGGUCUGCCAUACCAGACACACUGGCCCGACAUAUCCCCCUACGCUACCUGCAGAGAGAACAAUAUGCGGAAGAACUAAGGAGAAACACACAACUACUCUCUUAUGCCUCAAUCUCUGGCUGAACUGCCUUGAUUUGAUCCGCUUUGGUAGCAGGGACGAGGUUGUUGAAAUUCUCUGAUUUGUGUAGCAAAAUCUCAAUCUGCAAGUAUAAAGAUUGGAAGAAAUUAAAGUUUAUAAGUUUACAGCUCCGAGAAUUACAAAAUUGUCAUUUGUCAUAUAUAUAUAAUUUUAAUGGUGGGGGAAGGGAGAGACCCACCCUGGCUUUCCUAACAAGGCGGCCCUUGGUAUCAUCUUUGGUGCCAACCGUCGAAGUCAGGAUCUCUGCUCCAUUUAAUGUUAAGACUACUAGCUUAUGUUCUCCACUAAUUCAAGUCUUCGUGGAAGAAAAAUGAGACUUGAGUUCGUGGCUUACUCUUCUCAGUAGCCAGACCGUUGUUCUUCAGGAUCUCAGCAACCGUGACAACAGUGCCAAUAGCUGAAAUCAACAAGAUGUUACCAAGAUAAUGCUGAUGAUUAACAUGUAAUGCACAUAUUUCAGAUGUUAUUAUUGUACAAUUGCAUUAAAAUUUCAUAUAUUCGUUUUCUUUUGAUUCCUUUUAUAAAAUAGCAUCUGAUGGUGGUCAGAGUAGAGAGUGUUACCCAUGCCCAGCGCGGAAAGUUCGAUCUCAUUAUGCUGCUGCAUGUACCUCUGUGAAACCAUUAUUGGCGUUUACAAAAAAAAAAGAAAAAAGAAAAAAAGAAAAGAGUACAGAAUAUAAUAAUAUGGAAAGGGAAACUAAUUAACAAGAAUCAAUUAUGUAUUUUACUAGAAUGGAUCUUCAACUGAGAAAACAGUGGAAAGAUCAAAAGAUUGACAGAGAAAAGUAAAAUUGCAUCAUCGCAUCAGAGCAAACACUGGUCAAAUCUAAAUUAUAUUAGCACUCUGCAAAGCAUCCAAAAAUUGUUUGGUCUCCGUACUCAAACAUGAAGAAAUCUAGCAAAGAGAGAAACAGCUAUAAAGAAACAUUAAUUAAUACCAAGUAAUUAACAAUGUGAUCACAUAGAAAAUGAGAAAAUACUGUGACAAAACAGAAAAGUACAUCAACGAACAGAUCGCGAUAUGUACUAAGCUACACAAUAUCUGAUUCAGAGAAGAACAGCGGAUAACAUUGCACAAGUAAAUCAUGCAUUAUCAUAAAUUAUCCACUCAACUGCCCUAAAUCAACGAACAUAAGGCGAAAAUAGAUCAAACAGAUAGGUACACCAACGAACAGAUCCUGAUCUAGAUGAAGCUACAAACUACCUAAUUCUAAGCAGACACUGAAAAAGAUUGCAAAGAAUCACGCAUUAUCAUCAGAAAUCACCCACUCUAGCGACCUGAAUCGGAGAAAAUAACGCCAAAAUAGAUCGAAAUGAAUGCGAGCCUGCCGAGCAGAUCACGAUCCCGAUGAAAUCGCGUAAUGCCUGAUUCGUAACAGAACACCGACCACAUAUCCGAAAUUACACACUCCAGUGCUUUAAAUCGAAGAAAAUAAGGCCCAAAAUAGCUCGGUCCAAACCCUAAUUCCACCAUAUACAACCAUUUGAAGUUGAAGGAUCCAAUUCCCUCACAAACAAGGACGGAUCGAGAGGGCUAUAUACCUUCGCGAGAUUGACGUAGAAGUAGAGCGGUUUCUUGUUGGUGGACACCUGGAUCCGGUUCUUCUUCGUCGGCGCCACCACCGCAUCCUCCGCCGCGGGAGCCGCCGCCUUCGCCGCCUCGCUCGUCGCUUCCACCACCUUCACCCCUCCCUCUAUCUCCCUCUCCUUCUCCCUCUCCCUCUCCCUCUCCCUCUCCAUCUCCAUCUCCAUUCUCCCUCUCCCUCUCUCUCUCUCUCUCUCUCUCUCUCUCUCGCGUUCGCUCGGAGGAAACAACCGUGUGAGGUGCUCCGAGUGCUGCGCUCAUUAUAUAUAUAUAUAGAGGGUUAUAGUCUUCGGCGUAACCGUGCCAUAACGAGAACGAGUUAAAGCGCGCGUUUUGGAAACCGGUGAGUAAUACGGGACACGUGGCGUUUUCCGGUUGGCGGAGUGAUUUGUUUUAUUGGAAGUUAGCGGGUGGGACCCGUACGAGGCCGUUACCCCUUGUUAAAGAUCAGUUAAUGUGAGUCUCGCCCCCAAUUAACGAUUUUGCCUUAACCGCUCCGUGCUCCGGUUCAGGUUGUGGCUGUGGUCCCACUUUGAGAUUCGCGCUUAGAUCACCCGCACGCCUCCUUAGCUAGGAAAAUGCUUGAUGCAGGCUCACACGUUUUCGUACCCAAGUAUAUAUAUAUGCUCUAGUUUCCGCUAUCUACUUUUUGACUCAGACAAACGACUUGUCUUAUCACAUUGCCUGAGUAUGAUGUAACAGAACUUUGGAACAAAUAUUACACCAAUAUUGACGGUUGCAGUCGAAUAAAUAAACUUAUCAAACUUUCAACUAUGUGAUGCUUGCUAGAAAGAAAUAGUGUUGACUUGGGACGAGAAUCAAGCCUAACUCAAGUUUUUCACUGUAUACAUUCAUUCGCGUAGGAUUGAUUAGAACAAUACCAUUAAUUAUAUACUUGUAGCUUAACCUUUCUCCCCUUUCUUUCCUCCCUCGUCCUCUCUAUCUCUCUCUUUAUUUUUGAUGUUUUGUUUUUUCUUUUCUUGAGGUUUUGGUUGUCUCACUUAUGUUGCAAAAUUCAUUUCUCUUUAUAAAUGAAGCGGAUAGUUUGUUAUCUUUUUCUCAAAAAAAAAUAUAUAUAUAUAUAUAGAUAGAGUGAGGCUACUAUGCUAUCGGAAGCACGGAGCCACGGAGCCUUCUGUGCUUCCAGCUCGUUUUCGAUGUUGCGACUUUCGAAUCGUCGAUCGGCUCCCUUAAACUUGAUCUAGAGUAUUUGAAGUACCUAGAAAAUAAAUUUUAUAAUUUUACGAUAUCAUUUGCCUAGUGAACGGAGGGGCUCAAAAUCAACGGUUGAAAAUAAAAAUCUUACAAAAUGUAAUAAUAUGACAUUAAAAUUUUAAAUCAAAGAUAUUGAUCUUGUUUUAUAUAAUAUAAAGAAUUUUCUAUCAAAAUUUCACGUGAUUUGGAUAUUUCUAUACCGUUAAACUUGCAAACGGCUCACUACGGCCAUUGAAAUUUGUUGAUUUUGAGCCCAUUCGAUCACUAGGCAAAUGAUAUCGAAAAAUAAUAAAAUUUAUUUUCUAGGUACUCCAAAUACUCUAGAUCAAGUUUAACGGAGCCGAUCGACGAUUCGACAGUCGCAACAUCGAAAACGAACUGGAAGCAUGGAGCCUUCCGUGCUUCCGAUAGAAUAGUAGCAUCACUAUAUAUAUAUAUGCUCUUCUGCAAGCUUUUCAGAUACAAAACAAGUUUAACUAAGGUCAAAUUUAAUUUUCAAAAGAUAGAGCCUAAUUUAUUAUUGAUAAAGAGUUUUGUCGAACACAACUAUUAUUUACUAACUGAUUUUGGCAGAGAAUAAUAGCUAUAUAUACAUAGAGUUGGACUAGAAUACUAUUGAUAGCAAAAGGCCUUUUUUGCUAUUAAGGUUUUAGCCUUUGAAUUAAUUUCUUUUAUUAUUUCUAACUAUUAGAUUAAAUAUUAUAACUCAGUGGGAACCGCUCAACCUAAGAAACUAAUAUCAUCCCAACCCUACCAUUUCUCAUCCAAGGGUUAAAAACUUGAUAGUAAAAAAGACUUUUUGAUAUCAAUAGUAUUCCAGACUAGUUCUAUAGAGUUCAAUCUACAUAUAACAACACCAUCCAAACAGUAGUUGGGCUUUUUAAGACAAAUGAGUUUUAGCCCCGCACGGCCUGACCCUCGACCUGGGCCUCGGAUAAUCAUAUAGGCGUAGAUUUGGGCCCUCGUCACUGCUUUAUAUAUUGUUUCCUCUUAUAUUUAUGAAUAAUUAACAUGAACAUGAAUAAAUAUCGUCUAUCAGUUGUACAAUUUAGAAGCGUGGAAGAUUGCUAUUUAUAUAUCUUUGUGCAUCCUACAGAUUCAGCUAGAUACUCUGAGACUCUUUUCAAUGAUCUAGAUGCCAUGUAUCAAUAACUAAUCUCAUGUAUUAGCAACGACCGUCUCUAGAGCAAGUGGCAAAGAGUUUGGUGGUUGGUACUCGAAACCCAAGUUCGAAUCCUAGUUGAUUCACAUUUCCAGCUAAGUUUAUUUCUAAAUGAAAUAAACGAAGCGGGUAGCAUGCUACCUAUCUAGAUAAAACUAGAAAUUUCAUGGAAUUUGAACUAAUUCUGAUACUAUAAAAGUUGCUAGAAAGCAGUUUUUUAUGUUUCGUAUUUAUCGAUCAUGAAAACCGCAGUGAAAAAUAUACAGAUGCACCAUGUUACGAAGUUAUGCGAAAUUACCUGUCUACCUUAUGCGGCGCUUGCCAUUCUUCGUGAAGUCAGCAAGCCUAUUUCUCUACUUGUUAAGUUAUGACCUACUCGCCCUACACUAAACCACGAGAGAAUGAGUUGAAGAAAUUUUUCUAUUACUUUUAGUAAAGGAUUACAAAAUAAGAAUUCUGAGUUGAAUAAGUGGAAACCACAUUCAUUUAAAGAUCACUCGCCGUCCAUAAAGCAAAUAUAAAGAUACCAAGUGGCAUAAAAUUACAAGUCAAAAAAAAAAAAAAAUGGUACGAGCUUCCAAGAGCUCUAAUAAAUAUAUUUUCUAAAAACAUCGAAACUAUAAAAGACUUAUCGAUUUCCGCACCAUCAGUUUCGAGAUCCGCGGAGAUGCUUUUAGAAGAUCGGAGUAAAACCUUCGACAAAUAAUCAUUUCGAAAUUUAAGUGAUUGCAAAAAGAAAUUAUAGAAAAAAAUUUUAAGUCCUGACAACCAGACGUGUAGAAUAAGGUUAGGUUUGAAACACUAGACAUUGCUUGGCGUGGUCCGUUAUGCACAGUAGGUGCAGAGUCAAGAAGGGGUGGUGGGGAACUUUGUGAAAGAACUAACCAACGGUUGAUUUUCUGGGAGGCGUAAGGAUCAUAAUAUGAUUGAACAAAUCAGGGCAUGCAGUGUACAGGAUCGGUUGGUGCAUCGACAUCGCCAUAUCGCGUCGGAUGUGCCAUCUCCACCUGCACAGCUCCCAUGUCGGAUGAUGAGUUGGAUUGUGUGACUCACUUGGGGCCCUUGUUCUCUUUUAGCAAAUUUUUUAGUUCAUUAAUUAUUAGAUAAUGGGUGCCGUCGAGUUUGCGAUAUGAUUACCUUGCAAUAUAAAAAUCUAUGAAAAGCAAAAUUAAUCCUCGUGAAAUUUAUUUUAAGCUGUACGAUUUCAAAUGCAAUCAUUCAUAUGAUUUCCUUUUAACCGCCUGGCAAAAUUGAGCGACAAUCUAUAAAAUUCAAAAUAAUAAUAAUUAUUAUUAUUUUCAAAUUGAUGUCACAUAAAAAGCAUGCCAUUGUGCUCCAAAAUUAGAGCUAUGAGUCAAUUAUAAAAUGACACAUACAAUGUACAAAUACGCAACAUUCCCUUUGCUUUAAACGCACGAAUUAAAAAUGUGGGGAUACUUAGCUGGUAAUAAGCAUAUUUCCUGUGCGGAGUUGCGCACAUUAAUUAUUCUCUUAUUAUUACUAGCGCGCGGUGCGUUGAGAUUCGUGAAAAGUGGACGGUGGCGCGCCCAAAAUGUUCGAACACCGGAACGAGCCUAACGGCGCCGUUACAAUUCGAACCGCUCGCCGUUAGAUAACGGCGUUAGAGCGGGGUGGCUCAUAAAUAGCUCCAGUGGAACAGCGACGAGGGUGCGCGUACGAAGAAGAAGAAGAAGAAGAAGAAGAGGGGCGGAGAGAAGAGGACGAAUCGAUCGAGAGUAAGAAAUUUUCCUCAUUAUCCUCGAUUUCGCUUUGUAUCAACCUCGCCUCUUCAAUUUAGUUCUCAAUCUGGUUAUUUUCGUUAAUCGCAUCGAUUAUUGGAGUAAUCGACCCCGCAAAUCGAGUUCUCUUGAGCUUUUCGUGGAUCAAUUAGGUAGACACUGUGAGAUCGAUUGCUUAGUCGAUUGGGCAUUUCCAACUUCAGCAUUUAUUUUUGUUUUGAACUUGUAUUCGAAGGAUUCUAUACUAAUGGAUGCUUACCCUUAAAAAAAUAUUUUUUAAAAAAAUUUCUUUGCAAAUUUCACUUAAAUCAUACGUUUCUUUUGCUUGAUGAGUGUGUAUUAUAUUCCAAUGUUUAACUAUUGAUAUGUCCAUUGCUGAAGGGUAUAAGUUUACCAUGUUAUUGGUAUUCAACUUUCCGAUAUCUAUUGGUAAGUUAAGGUCGCUUGUCUCUAGUCCGAAAGAAAAGAUGCCUUUUGAAGUAACUUAAUUGUUAUAUGUGUGCUUAUAAUCUAGAAUUUUCUUCAAUUUUGAUUGAAAUUCUUAUGAUAGAGAAUCAAGUCGAUGGAAUUCGAAACGAUAUUCAUGCAUAGGUUAAAUUUUGUUUGACUAAGCAAUAUAGCUUUACAACUUCUUAAGGUUGCUUUAGUUGUACUAAACUCAAAAAAUUUCAUAAAUUUUCUUAAUAGUUACUCGACUAAGACAUAUUUGCCUUUUAAGCCAUAAAGUUGUUGGAUGACAUACUUAUCAAUUUUUUGAGCUGUAGUAAAGGCGAAAGGGGCCCCGUAGUCGUUUUCACCCACUAGGCCACUGGGUUAGAUGAUUUACAUACUUUCACUCAAAUUACGUUGCCGAUGCACGUGUUGUUGCUUGAGAUAUUAACUAUUAAGCUUCUUUUAUUGCCUCAUUGUGGGGCUUUAAGGAAGCUAGUUAAACACCAAAUUCAUAGUAUAUACUAAAUGAAGAAUCCUAGUAGCUAUGGUAAGUUCUCAUACUUGUAAUGCUAGAUGCAUUAAUCUUAAGUGAAACUUGAGCAAUUAGUGUACAUUGCUUUCUACAUGUGCUAGUGGACAAAUUUCACACUCUUUUCUUCUUCUUCUUUUUUCUUUUGUUUUUUAACUGUUGGUGGGAUCAUGCUUACAGACUUACUAUUACCUGAAUAUAAAAGUCAAGGCUUUUCCAUUUGAAAUGAGAAUUGUAUCACUAUUGCUGUGCAUGUAGAAUCAAAUAUUUAGUUUUAUUUUAUUAUUUUUUAAUAAAAUCAGUUGAUCAUUUUUGUGCACUUUUCUGAUGGAUUCUAUGUCAUAGUUAUGCUUGUUUGAUCUCAAGUUGUUAUUUUUCUUAUUUUCUAUUACAGCAAUAUGGAAACGGAGGUUACAGACACAAGUUGCAAUGAAGAAUUGGAUUUUGUUGUUAUUUCUUCAACCACUGAUAAUGCCAAGCAAACUGAUAGUCGUGUCUCUAAACCUUCCGAGCAUGAUGAUUUGAAUGAAGGCGCUAAAGCCUCUCUUAAUCCUGAUGAACAUAUUGUGAAUGGAUACACCAUGGAAAAUUCUGUAGAACCAUUAUCUAUUCAUCAAAAAGAAAAUGGUCUUAAGGAGCAAGAAGAACCUUCUAUAGAGAAUCCUAAUGUAGGCCCUGGUAUCCCAGAGAAGAAAAAUGUGAGGUAUGUUGCCCGGAAGCCAUUUAGUCAGAAAAACUUGGCUUCUUCCAUUAAAACGGAACAAAAGUCAGCUAAUACUGGACCGGUACAUUCUCGUCUCACUGUUUCUCGAAGCUGUCAUUUUGCAACUAACAAGCAUGCUUCUGGUGGGAAUCAUACUUCUAGCAAUGCUACUUGGAAUGGGAACUACUCUUACUCUGAGACAACAAAUCUGAUGAAGAAGAACCAGGUAAUUUAUCUCUCCACUUGUUCUUGGAAACAUCGAGGAACAUAUUCUUCUUUCUCAAUGCAUUUCAUUCUGUAAUUUUCGCCUCUUGAUCCUUUUCUUCUUUUUUUACCUCUGCUACUUUUUUUUUUUUUUUUUUUUUUUUUCUUUUUUUUUUUUUUCUUUUUUUUGAUGUCUAGGUGAGAUUUUCUUUUCGUUAUUUUGAUCUCAGUGAGGAAGGGAGAAGGGUGGCUGAUUAAUGCCUUUUAUCCUCAAUAAAUGAAUACCUCUUUUCUUUUAUAAUUUUCAGGGAAUAAUCUUGUUCUUUCUUAAAGUAAUGUACUUUAUUUGGAAAUCAUGCAACAGAUAAAAGAAAAAUGUCAUGAUAUUUUUCUGUAUGAUAAUUUUCAGAGUAACACAGCUCUUAUGUCAAGGAAGUCUACGCAACCUGAUGAUACAAAGCUUCUGAAUGACGAGGAUGCUUGCUCUGUUACUUCUACGUAUCCUCUAACGUUUGAUUGAUCUUUUUGCUAUUAGAUUCAAUUUACCUCUUCAAAAGAGAAUGGUUGAUUAUCCUGAACAAUUUAUAGAACUAUAGCAUCUCUGAGAACAUCAAAAGGCAGGCUUACAGUGGCUUCUGCCCCUGUUUUCAAAUGCACUGAACGUGCAGAGAAGCGCAAGGAGGUAGGUAUAUUACAUUAUCUUUUUUCAUUGUAUGAAAAAGAUCUGAGCACUUUGCUGAAAAUAAUUUUCUCUUUUACGUCGGUAUUCAUUUCUGUAUAGUUUUAUCUAAAGUUGGAAGAGAAGCACCAAGCUUUGGAGGCUAAAAGAAGCCAAUGUGAAGCUAGGUCAAAGGUAUAUUCUUUAUUUUGCAGCAUCCAAACUCCAAAUAUACUAGCUUUAUUUAAUUAUUAUUGGUAUUAACCAACUGGGAGCUUUCUACAGUUCUGUCUGAAUUAGAAUUGUCAUGGAAAUUCAAACUAAGGGGAAAAAACUAAUAAUUUGUUGCCUUCCUAGUCAUUUUGUAGACAACUGUAAUCAAAUUUUAAAAUGAUAGAAGAAGUUGUUUUGUCUUUUCUAUCCAUUUCGUUGGUGGUCUACCUUAUGUACAUUCCAGUGAAAGGAUCAGUUAAGUUUUCAAGUCAAGGAGAUUUUUACACAUAUUAGGCUUGUCACUGUUAUUUGUUUUUUAUAAUAUUUCCUGCCUACUCCGAAUUGUCCAGCAAAACUUGUAUCAUUCAUUUUUUAUCGAUACAAGUCAGGAAUUGUCUAUGCGAUUUUCUAUUAACAUAAUUAUUAGCAAAUAAGUAAUUAAACUACCCUUAUAAAAAUCCACAGUCGCCUUGGUUUAAGCUUUUUCUUUUUCUUUCAGGAAGAACAAGAGGCAGCUAUUAAGCAACUGAGGAAGAGCUUGACAUUCAAAGCUACACCUAUGCCAAGUUUCUACCAUGAGGGGCCUCCUCCGCAGACUGAACUGAAAAAGGUGACAACCCUGUAGUAACAUGUAAUUGUUCAUAAGCUACCUCUUUUUUAAUAUCAUUCUGCUCUCUAAUAAGGGACCAGAUUAUACUGGUUCCAAGCUUUAGUGAAAGUUCACUGAGAUCUUCUAGAUUAGUUGCCUGUGAGAUUGCUAGGAGUUUUCUUUUGGACAUCCUCAUUGUGGUUAAGUAUCAUCAGAAAUGCAGCUUGCUGUGCGCCACUUAUAUUAUUACGGGCUAGGAUACAUCGAAAGAUUCAUUAUGGCAUGAGAUCUUUGAUUUGGCAUCUAUGUGUUUCCACUUCCCUUUGAUAUGUCAUUUUCAAGUAUCGUCUUGCAUCCAGCCUAUUCAAUUUUCAUUGCUAAUUGUGUUUUUUUUCUUUUUUCUUUUUUUAUAUUUACGAAGUUCUUAAUGAUUUUUAUAUUUACAAAGUUCUUAGUGAAUUGAUGUAUUUGAUGACCAUUCUUUUUAAGAAUACCUGAAUUUGUAGUUGAAUUUUAUCGUGAAUGGCCUUUUACUUACUAAGCAGAUUUCAGGCUAGUAUUGAUUUUUCAUAUGAAACGUUUCACUAGAGUUUUCUAACUUGAAUCUUUUCUUUUUCCUAAAAGCUGCCCACAACUCGUCCGAAAUCACCAAAGCUUGGUCGAAAAAAGAGCUGUCCUGAUGCAACUAAUCCAACCCAACAAAAUAAUGAUCCUUUUAAAGAUCAAGGGAGCCGUAGAUCUGCUUCAGCUAAGGAGAAUGUGAAGACCCUAAUUCAAAAGGUGUCUGUUGAGAGGAUAGUCAAUAUCGCAGUGCAAUCGUGAUUGAUAUUUGUGAUUUUAAUUUAUAUUUUCAUGGCUUGCAGCAUUGACAUGAUUUAUAUGUUGAAUAAAUUAUACUACCGUUGCCAAAAAAUGUUUUGCUUCGGUUUGUGUGACGGAUGAUGUUGUACAUGUUGUAAGUUAUAAAGAGGGUGGUGUGAUUAAACGUGAAAUAUCUUUCUUAUUUAUAUAAAUGCGGACAAAAUUUUCAGAUUUGCUUGCUGAUGUAUUGCUUUUAAAUGAUCUGAGUAACAACUUUUUCAUUUGGCCAUAUGCCUCUUUUUUAAAGUUAACUUACUGUAUAUUAAUCGAACAUAUUUUGGCUUUUCAUUCUCAAUCUCUCUAUAAUAAUCUUAGGCUUCUUCUUUUUUUGAGAGAUAAUAAUCUUAGGCUUCUCUUGGAAGUUUGAUCCAACACUGUGGGCUUCUGAUAAACUUUGUACACGACAAAUUUCCUUUGAUUUCUAGAUGAUCUUGCUAUGUACAAUUUUCCAGCUGGUCAUCUUUAUCUACAGCUGGCCUUCUUUUCUUUUCAUUAUUUUUUAAUUCUUGCUCAAAAUCAUCCUGAAAGUAAAUCAACUGUCCAAUUAUUAUUACUGGACUCAUCUUGGAGAAUGCUUGUGGAACUUCUGCUGUAAGAUUCUUAUUGUGUAAUGAAUGGUCCCAAGUCCCAACUUCAGCCUGGCAGUAAUGUGCUAUUACAGAAUGUUAUUGAUAUUAAUUUUUCAUUGAAUAUGAUCAUAUUAUUUAUUGACCAAAUUUAAUCGGAUUUAUUGAAUUUGAUCUAUCUCGACUAUGUUAAUAUUACUGUCCUAUUUCGCGCUUCCUCUUUUUCUGUUGUCUUAGUUUCAAAUCUAUUGGUUAAGCUUCUCUCCUACUACUAAAUUAGUGUGCUUAUAUAUACGAUGUUUAACCUUUGGAGCAAAUAAAGCAAUUGACUUUUUUUUUUUCCCUCUGGCCAAUUGACAUCUUGACAUUUAGAUAUUGUAAUCACAAACUUCAGAUUCCACAAGGUGCUACAUAUUUCACUAAAAUCAAAUUAGCCUGAUUAUAAUUAACCUAUGGAAUUUGUCUCUUCAACUUUCCCAACCAACAUUAAAGCUAUUAAAGCUCUUAUCCUUCUGACAAUCUCCUAUGAUCCAAUCCUACACUUAACCCAUCUUUUUCACUUUUUACCACUUCUACAGUUAACUUUUCCUCUUUAUUGUUACCCACACAAAAGCUUUGUGGCACAUCUGCUGGUGUUGUUGCUUGGUUGUUAAGCUUGGAAUCACACUUGUGCUCUCCAUCUGAUGAAGCCUCUCCACCCCUCAAUCCUCUCUACAACCCCCCACCCCUUUUCCCAAGUGGGAAGCAAAAGAGAAAUCCUUUGCUUGGGAAUAAUACCCACCCAAUGUCAAGGACACCUUGUUAAGUCAUACUCCUUCUUGAGAAUAAUAAAUAAACCUUUGAUUAGUGAGUGAGCUUAAUCAUAACUAAGAAUAUCAUCAUAUCCCAUUAAACUAGGAACCACUUAUUUAAUCAUGCUAUCUACAAACAAACACAUUAUCCACUGAUCUCUCGAACCGAGCUUUACGAUUCGCCACGACCAAAUAUGGUGAACUAAUCAUGAAGAUGAUCAUCAUGGCUUUGCUCUUCGAGAUAAUGGGUCCCCCUAAGAUGCUACAAGAAGCUUGUGGGUUGACCUACGGUAGCAUCUAACCUGUAAAAGCCUUUUGUUUUAAUAGUUCAACCUAAUCAUGGCAAAAAGAAGUUAACUUAAUAUAUAUGUUACCAAAAUAAUUAAUAUUACUUGUACAUUUACUUCUUUGCUCAUCCCUUGAGCAAAGUCCGAUCCAUGUUUAUUUAGUCAUCAAGUGUGAAACACCCUAAGAAAAGUGGGAUUCCAUGUCAUAUGACUUGUAAAAAGAACCCUUCAUCUCUUCCACCCCUCACGUAUGUAUAUAAGGACUCAAGUGGAAACUAUAUUGCAUGGUCUACUAGUUAGUGUGGCUUUAUAUUUCUCUCUAUCACACCCCCUCAUCUUCUUCCUCAUGACAGUUGAGGGGAAUGUUGUCUGGUUCGAAACCAUUGACGCAAAGAGCACGCUUCGAUAGUCUCCUCGACGGCAUGAAUGGUUUCGGACCAGGCUUCAUUCCCCCCAACUCGCGGAACCUGUCGAGAAAUCCUUGUCGAAAAGCCCAUGCUAAUGUCUUCUGCGGCUCUAAAGGAGAUUGAAAAGCUCCAACUUUUGCCAAGUAAGUGUUUUUUUUUCUUUUUUUUUAGUAUCCAAUUCCAAUUCAUCCAUGUUUGCGAACCGGGCUUCUGAUUAUCAGAUUAAUCUCAGAGGAGCAAUCCCUCCUUUCCUUGUUCACCUAUUAUGUUUUCAAUAGAGAUGUUCUAAUGUGAACACUAUUCGCCAAAUAAGUUGACAAAUGAGAAGUUUUUAGUGUGAAUAUAAGACUAGGAGAUUUUUGCUUUUGUCAUUUGCAUAGUAAUGAGUACGAAAAAUAUAUUUAAUUAGAAGGAACUUUCACUUUAUUGCUGCAACAGUUAGAAGAUUCUCAAUAGUAUUCUGACAUUUCAAAGGCUCUUUGCACUGUCAUUAUAGCACUGCCUUAAAGACUAGAUAUUUGAUUCUUUCCUUAGAUUUUUUUUACUCCUUUCCUUUUUACUCUUACCACGUGGAUCUGACACAUCAAAAGAAAAGCAUCCUAUAAAUUGAACACUUAAUUAAAAUGACAUCCUGUAAUGUGUUAUAAGACCCAACAUCCAACCGACGGGACCAUCGUGAACUUUCGGUUUGUUGUCGACCUUGUGGAUAUUUUUGAUCAGGAAAAGGUUGCUUUAAAGCUUCAACAUGUGGAAAUUUUAGUAGAUACAUAGUGACUUUGGUGACAGUGUUAGGUAGAUCUGAUACAGCUGAAAGAGCUGUUUUUCCUUGGCCCUCUAACAUUUGCUCAAUGUGGUCUUUUUCGACAACUUUUGUUGGUCUAAAUGCUACAGUCACUAAGAAUAACACAGCCUAGAAGCUACUAGUAUAUAUCUAACAUCUCGAUUAGUCGAAUUACACGUUAAAAUCAAUGCGGAUCCUUUAUUUUUCUAGGUACAUUAUCCCUUUCGUGUUGGGGUUCUAAACAUACCUAACCUAAGGAUUUAGUGGAAAAUGAUGUACAUGUUUAACAAAGUCUUGAUGAGGAAUAGAAAGCUCACUGUUACAAGUCAAACUAAUACAACUAAUCAUUGACAUCUUUGACUUUUAAGUAUGCCAUGCAUAGAGGAUGAGACCAUUAGCUAAUCACUAUUAGUCACUCCAUUUAUCUCUCUCUCUCUCUCUCUACAUUUGUUUACACAAGCAUAUCUAUCUACAUACUAUAUACAUGUAGAAGUUGCAACAGUGUUGCCUCAUAAUGUAGGUGAGAGUAGAAUGAUAGCACAAGAAUAUUUGUGAAGCAAAGCACCUAAAAAAAAAUCUACCUUGGCUCAUCAUUAAACUUGUUGUGAAAGGACAUGCAAAGCCAAACCAUUUGUAUGAUAUUAUAGAAACCAAUGCUUUGAGCAAUGGCAUUGGUUGCUAUCCAGUUACGGUGGGGCCCAGUCUCCUUGACCAUAAGUGAAGGGCCCACCUCACCUAAAUGGUUGUAAAAGAGGAGGGGGUGUGGAUGUAUGUCCAUGUACAUGUAUGAGAUUCAUUUGUUAAAGAGGAAAUUUCAAAUCUCAUAGACCAGUCAAAGGAAAAAGAAGCAAAAAAAAAAAAAAAAAAACAUCAUUGUAAGAUGUAAAUGAUGCUUCUUUACCCCUUUAUUUCUACUAUACUUUUUGACUGUAUUUUUAUGCAGAGUAGUAAUAAUCCUUGAUCAGGUGCAGUGUGGAGAUGAGGCAUUUAUUUGUAAGAGAGCUUCUUAUAAGGUAGACCACUUUUUUCAUCCCAAGAAGUCUUUUUGAGGAGGCAUCAUUCAAUUACUUGAAAAGCCUACUGCUUGAAAAAAUUACAUACUGUAGAGAACUUUUUUCUUAAAGUACAAUAUGUUGACAGCAAAGUAACUUCAAGGCCCUUUUUAUGAAAUCAAUAGGCAUGUCUAAAUGAAAAUUUUGCCCCUGAAAGCAGAGAAAGACCAAUCCAACACAUAUCAAUGAAAACAAACCCAAAAAAAAAGAUAGUAGAAAUUAUAAGAAAAGUAUCAUCAUUUUAUUAAAGCUAAGAAAGAGAGAGCAAAUAGUCCAAACCAAUACAUAGUAAUCAAGAAAAAAAUUGCAGCAACUAUAGAAAAGUAACUUUUGAUUUACAUAUAUCCAAAACGAAGAACAUCAGCAUCUUUCUAUUUAACUUACUGUACGAUCAAUCAUUCAGAAUUUUAGACGCCGAGAAAAUAGCAACAAAGAAAAGAAUAUGCUUGAGAUAUGAUCAUCUUAUUCUUAAUGGAAGAAGAUACAAAGAGUGUACGUGUAACAAGAAAUAGACGAAGCUUACGGAGACGCGGAGGACAGGUUGUUCGAAAUUGCCCAGGCUGAUUGCACCGGAUGCGAUGUACAAUUUUCUCGUUUCGCCCGUCAUACUCUUUCCCUUUCACCUUCAUUCCCGGCUUUCCUCGAUGUCUAAGAGAAUUACGGCGCAUUCCCGCCACAAGUACAUAGCUGCGUUCCGUUCCUUCCCUGUCCAUGCUUGUUUAUAAGGCAAAGUAAUUCCGUGCAUGUCGUAAAUUUCCUUUCUCACGAAGCCGUUCUUCUGCAAAGUUUGCGACCCACUCCACCGACGCUUGAUGACCCUGAUUGUGAAUUUAGGAUCAUCGGUGAGUUUUGCGGCAUGAACACGCCAUGAGCACCCUGCAUAUGUUCAUCUGGCAAUGUGUUCAUGCCUGGCGCUGGUAAUAGAUUUUCGGAUGUGGACGAUCGGAGCUGCAACCGAAGAAGAAUCUUGUGGCGUAUCACAGGACACAGGAGUGGUAUCACAGUAGCUGAAGAGAGCAAUUUCAUUGUUUUGAGUGGCUAGAUUGCUAGGAUCAUGUUCACAGUUACUACUCACAACAAGAUCACCAGCAUGGUGCUGGGGACAAUAGAAUACAAGAUUGAGGUCAUUGGGAUUAUGAUGUGAGAGACCGAGAUGGUUCAAGUUCCCAAGUUCCUGAUUACGAUCGUCGGAGUGUGCAAAACCAAUUUCAUGGCCAUGACCGUGGCCUGCUUCGUCGUGCUUGAAUUGAUCGUCGUCUUCGACAUGAGAAACAUCUGUAAAUAUAAUACAAGACAUUAGAUACUCUUUUUUGGAAGAGAAGUUCUCUUACAGAUAUCCACAGCAAAUUUCGAAUGCAGUUCAAAUUUAAGACGGUCAUAUUAAUUAAGAUUUUUUUUUUUCCAGAACAUAUCAUAACAAUGAGAUCAUAACAAAAUAAGAGGGGGAAACAAAAUCUAACCUUUCUCUUUUUAAAAUGAACUUAUAUUUGGCUUACCAGAAUAGGCUUAAAAGGACAAAGGGUUUUAACGAGGAAAUAUAUUUGAAAUAUGGAGAAGCGAAGCGCGUUCGAGAUUAAAAAAAGAGGUGAAAGAGAGGCGAAAGGGCGAGAACAGAGCUUGGGUUAAUCAUAAUUUAUAUUAAUUUAAUCUACUUCUUUUGUUUAUAUAUAAUUUUUGUUGGUAAAUUUUAGUUCUAUUAUAUCCCUCGAUCGAAACUCUAUUGCAACAAUCUGGUACGUUCAUUUUGUCUCACAACGUGAAUAAAAUAACAUCUUUCGACUAGACCGUUAAGAGAGAUAUCUAAUCAUUACAUCAAAUUCUGAUUAUUCCAAUCAUAAAUUCAUAUCUAAUUGACUUGCCAUCAAUAAACAUCACAAAUAUUUUGUGCUUGCAGGAUUAUAUUUGUUUUCGCUCUCUAGUGCUGCUUCUGCUUGCUAAAACUUUUUAUCUUUGCCCUCAGAAUCAUUUUCUAAAAAGCGAAAAAGAUACAAAUUACAAAGACAUGAACGCAGCGAAACUUUUUCCAGUGCCAGGGAAAAUUGGUAAAUUUUUCAGCAUUUGAACUACUAAACGGUUAAAAAGUGCUUAAUUUACCAGCUAUUUACACUCUAGUCGAGCUCCUUAGUCCAAUCAAAGGGCUCCCAUUCCUUCAUAAAAGCCGUGACUGCAAGCUUCUGCUUCUCCACCGGCUCGAGCCUUCGCCUGCGGUACAUGUCCUCCUCCGGCAGUCGGAGGAGGCCUCUGAUCACAUUCAGCCCGAAACCGCCGCUGAAAUUGCCUUCAUCGUCGAUGACAUGAACGAAUCCCCGGUCUAGACCGAACUCGACGUGGAAGUAGGAGAAGUUUGCGGGUAUAACUUGUCGCAAAUUGCCGCUUGUUGGGAUGAGCUUCUUCAUCUCGUGCUGACCCCACUCGUCCUCAGCUUCAUCAAUUGCCUGAAGGGAGAUGAGGGACAAGGGAUCUUAUUACGACUUGCUCCGCUGAUAAAGAAUAUCAAUUUUAGGCAUUUAAUGCUGCGACAAUAUCUUAUGUGUUCGCAAGUCCAUGUAUAAAUGUAUAGCUUCUAUCUUUUUCCGAGUAUAUUUGCCGAGAGUCGACAUUAACUUUUAACUUGAACAUAAAAGAAUGGAGACGGUUUUAAUAUUAGUUUAGUGAUUAGGAGAUGAAAUGCAUGUUGGCAUGCUAUCUCAUUCCAAAUCUAUGUUAAUACACAAACAUUAAGUAUUUGGACACAUAAGAGCAAAAGGCAAUGUUGUAACAAUUGAGGAGGCAUUUGAACAAUAAUGCAAGAAACGAUCAAAAAGUUACGAACUAAGCUGCAGGAACCUCAGUCAUAAUAAGUGAUAAUAAGAGAAAUUGUAAAUUUUAAUAAUUCAGUAUGUGUUACCUUCUUGAAGUACAUUGGCGCUUGUCUAGAAAGCUGGUCAGGUAUUGGAAUGCACUCGAUCAAGCAGUGCCUGCGUUGCUUUGCCAAGCCUAUAACAGUUUCAAGGAAUACCACAUCCUUUUCUUGCUUAGAAAACAUCUUUAGGAGGCACUUUUUGAAGUUUCGGAUUUCAUCCCAUACAUUCUGAUCAACAGUUCUUGUUGCGGCCUCAUGCUGUACAUAGGUAAAACAGAUGGGUUUACAUCAAAUUAAUGGCCUUUAGUGACAAGAUAACAACAGAAUAUAUGUAGCACUUCAACAGAAAACCGGUUUUGAUUAGAAAGAACAUAUCAAAGAAGGGCUUUCAGUUCAGCUCGAACUUUUAGGCAGAAGUGCUGUUUAAGUUAUGCUGCAUCAAGCACUGACAACUCUUCACUAAAAUCAUUCUCCCAAUUUCUUGCAACAAUCAGUAGCGGAAGCUUUAUAUUUGAGCUUCUACUAUUGGGGCCUAACAUCUCAUUUCAGUUUCUCGCGACACCAAAAGCUCCAAACAUUUUUGCUCAUUUGGAGAAAAGAAGCUGAACCAAAGAUGACAGCAAAAGUAUUCCAGUAAAUUAUUGCUAACCAGCAACUCAAAUGUUACAAAUAUAAAUGAGAUAUGCAGCUUUCUAAAUUGUAAAAAGAAAAAGAACAUAACUAACCUGCAAUGGCAAAAUAAUGCAAUGACCUUCCACGACAGGAUGCCACUGGGGUAGCAUCAGAUAUGUGAAAUUUGCUAUCGAUACAACCAAAUGUUUUGGCCUAGAUGGGUUCUCAAAGCAAAACUGGCAACGCUCCUUUUGCGUUGAGAAUUGCUUUCUAACAAACCUAUUCUCCUCGGGUGCUGCUUCUUUCCUCUUCUUACUUUUUCUACUCGGAGCAACACCAUCAAAAUCAUAUUCAUCAUCAGCCCUUCCAGACAAGCUAAAUUGUCUAUUCUGCAUUAUUUUCUUCGCAAGGUGCAAAUCAGCAUCAUCUUCUCUUUUCUUGUGGCUGCCAGAAAUCUGCGCCCCUGACUGCCUGAAAAGACAGAAGAAAAUCCAAAAAACAAUUGAAUGCCAGUACACGGAGAAACAGGAAAAAAUCUAGGGAAUCUAAUAAAUCAAAGAAAAAGGAAUAAGUUAACCUCAUAUAAUUAAGCAUGUGAUAUUCAAAGGAUAGCAACAUCCAUGCCCAAUCUAUGUUGGCAUCUUUCUCUCAGGGAAGGAGUACAAACAUAUAUAAGAUAAUACAAAGCAUUGUUAUGUGAAAUUUCGAUCCAUUUCUCCUUGUUGAUGAAUAAAAAUUAGCUACAGGGCACUUCAAAAUAUACCGCCAACUUUAUCUUCUUUUUUUUAACCCCUUCUUAAUUUUUACCUCAUCAACUUUUGAUAAUUUUGAUUUUGAGUUAUUUUCAAUGAACAUACCUGCUAGAGCUGCCAAUGUUUUCCAGACUCAAACUGCCUGAAUCCUGCUUCUCAACCAUGUCCUCCAUCUCUUUCUGAUUAAAAAAAAGUGGGAAAAUAUAAUUACAAAAUAUCCUCACAAGAGGAACAGUGCACAGAAAUUCACAAGUAUUUGAUCAUCUGAAUUUUUCUUCUGCAAAAGCCUGAAGUUCAAUGUCACUUUAGUACUCAUCAUUUUUCCUUUAGAAAAAAAUUGUGAAGCACUGCCUCUCUGGCAAGACAUCUUUUUCAUAUCCACUAUUACGAGCAUUUCCUUACAUGAAAAACAUGCUCAUAGCUUAUUUAAAAUCAUGCUCCGAAGGAAGCCAGAUUUUCAAUCUAAAGAUUUAAUGAACAACCUACAUACUAAGGUAUUCUUCUCAUGAAUUUUUGAUAGAACAAUAAAAACUUUUACUGUGUUUUUUUUCCUUCAAAGAAGUGCUACUGAAAGGAAAUAUUAUUCCUGAAGCUGUUUAUAAUUAUAUGGUUUAUACUUAUGAUGUGAAUAUGAGACGAUAAGUUUGUUCUCGUCUGAUGUAAUGCCUCACCGAAAGUUUAUCCGCCUCCUCAUGCUUUCCUUUCAUUCGAAGCUGCAAAAUCUUCGCUGCUAACUGAUUUGCACUCAAUCCUUUCAUAUUGCCUGAAGAUGUUUUGUUGGAACUUUUAUCCUUCAAAGAGUUCAGAUCACUUUCCUUAACCUCAUUUGCUUCUAAACUUGCACAAGAGCUAUUGGAAGCACUAGCAUCCUUGCUUUGGAAAUGACUGAUAGCAUCCAUAAAGCUACCAUCAUUGGCGAACUUAUUUAAUCCAGAUAGUGCUGCAGAUAUGAGAGAUUUAUCCUCUGAAGAGACAUUCUGACCUUUAUUCCGUUUCCAAGGGAAAUUAUCCUGCCUAGGCUUUCUCAUCUCAGGAUUACGAGAAGAAACACCACGUAAAUAAUCACGACCUUCAUUUAGUUCACCAGGUGGAACAGCUUCGCUUUUUUCUGUUUGCCCUCUCUUUCUAUUCCUUAUGGCGUGUAAAUGAGCAUGAGUAGGGGCAGCUCUAGAAGCUGCCACUGAAGCAGCCAGCUGGCCCAAAGAGCCCCAUCGUCCUUCAACAACCUGGAAAAUACAAAAUUACAAGCAUUUCACUAAAUUAACUUGAUGUUUUUAUUUCGAUAAGUAAUCAAAAGUAAGAUGUCAUACAUCAUCAAGUUUUCUCCCUUCACGAGCUGCUUGCUCUUUUGCGCGCUUCAGAGCUUUAAGUCUCCAGCUUGCACCGCCAUCACCAACAACUGAAGAUGAAAGUAACUGGUCACCGGCCUCGGAUAAUGCCUUUUCAUCUGGGUAACCACUGCCAUUAUCUUUCAGGUAUGGAUUCAGCUCCUUCGGGUUCAUCUGUUUUAUCUGCUAUAUAAAAGCAAAUUCGUAAAGAUCGGUGAAUAAGAUUAUAUAAUAUAUCCAGGGAGGAUAGAUAAAUUCCCAGUCCAGUUACCCAAUACAUCAAGAAUAUAGAAGAAAACAGAUCAAAUCAGCAAAAAGAGGCCUUCACCCCCUCAUCCCUCACCCCAGAAGAAACAAGAAAAACAAAAAACAAACGACAGUCAUUUACAAGUUACCUUAAGUGAUAAUGCAAAAACACAAACAGCAGUACUUCUUAACUAUUUAGAGUGCAUAAUGAUGCUUGGUAUCAUACUAAACUUCAUAUCAGGAAAUUUAGAGAAUUCUCGCUUACAUAAACAUAUCAUCCAAGGUACUCUGAGACUAAAUUGGCAACAUAGAUUUAAAGCGAAGUAUGUGUGCAUUAUUUACCUACCUAUGAUGUCACAAAACCUUAUUAUUGUAUCUUUUCUCGUAUUCUUGAGAAAACAAACAGCUUUACCUCUUCAAUCGGCUUCUCGGGUUGCUCGGGCUCCUCUUCUCGCUGAGCACAACUACUUUCAUUCCUGCUUGUGGACUUUAACAUCCACUCCAAACCCAUCUCCUUCCUCGCAAGCUCGUUGCCACUUUUGUUAAGUAAUUCCUCAUCAUCUACAUUGAACGAAUAGGAAACAACAGUAAAUAUCAAUUUGCACACAAUACUAAAUAGAUAGGAUAAAAGAAAGAGGAGCUUACCCGAGAACUCGUCGUGCGACGAGUGCUUCCCCUUACCACUCCGAACCCUAAUAUCCUUUCCGCGCUUACUCCUCCCGCCGUUUCGAUCCUCGUAUUCCUCAGAUGAGUCCGAAUCAUCUGAAAAGCUCUCCUUUUUCCUCCCCCUCCUACUCCUCUUAGACCUUCUCUCCUCGUCACUACCCGAAGAGCUUUCGCUCUCGUCCGAGCUAUACCUCUUGCUUCUUCUCCUACUCUUCUUCUUCUUCUUCCUCGUCUUCGUCUUCUUCUCGUCCUUCCCCUUUCCAUCACCAUCCUUCGCCAUUAUUCUCCUCGAAUCCUUCUUCUCCUCGCCCGAUUCCUCGGAAUCCGAACCCUUCCCCGCCUACAAAAACCAUGAAAAUCGAAGAAUUAACGAGAAAUUUAGGUGGAAAAAGCACAAAUUAAGGGAGGAAGUGUUCGAUUUACAGGGAGGAGUUGAUCUCCGGGUAUGAAUUUGAUCCCCGAGAGCAUCUUUGGGGAUCGAGAGGGGUGGUUCGAACGCGGCGGUGACGAGGCGGCGCGAUGGAGGAGGACGACGACGAGGAGGAUGCGAUCCCGAUUCGCGAGGCGACUGGUGGGCCUUGCCGUGCUGGGAGUAGUGGAUGUAGCAAAACGGUGGAAACGGAUUCGACCCAUUAACUCGAUCCGAACACUACUCGAUUUAUGGAUCCGACAUGGGCUCAAAAUGUAUGGGCCAAUUAUGGGCCUGGUUCGCUACUUUGCAUCGGCAAGGGAAGCGGGCCUAGGUAGUUAUUACUCUGGGCUCAAUAUUUGGGCCGUAAGAGCUAAUGGGCCGAUCUAUCAUCUUUGUUAUAAUAUUUGAUUAAUCAAUAAAUCGAGUCAAAUUAGAGAGUUGUUGUGUCGCGUACAUGUUAUCACGUCGUUAGAAAUGAGCCGGGCUCUUGGUACACUCGGUCCACUGCUAAGAGAGAAUAUUGCUUCAUGCUUGGACAAAAUCAUAGCACAUCAUCUGUGAAACACGUAGACCUGAAUAGGCUCCGUGUGAUUUAUUUUUCCCUUCUAACAGAUUUUAAAGACCCGGUGUUUCUAUUCUUAGGCGUAGUAGACUGGGUCCAUGCAAUUACUUCACCACCCUAACGGUCAACCAACUCUAAUUUCCAUUUCUAAUUUUAAAUUGUUUCCAAUUAUCAGGGAUUGAGAAAGAGAUCAGAGAUUCUUCUACGUGUAGAGGAACGUUAAUUACAUUGUUUUCCCGAAAAAAGAAAAAAAAAAAAAAAAGGUUCCUUUUUUAUUAAUUUAUUUUUAAUUUUUUUAACUUUUUAUUAUGUGAGGGAGCGUAGAGAUCGGUAGGUACCUCUUCAUUCUCGGACAUACGUAAAUGGCUACUUUUCCUCCGUUCUAAGCAAAGGGAGAGAAGCUCGGGAAAAAGGAGAAAGCUUUUUCUUCUUCUUCCUCUUAUCCUCUCUCUUCUCUCUCUUUCUCCAUGACUUAGAACAAAAAAAAAAGAAAAGAAAAUACCCUCCUUUCAUGGUAGAUUCCAAAAUUGGCUCCUUUUCUCGGCCCAACGGUCGAUUCCGGCAAAUGGGUUCUCUCCCUUUGAACUCCAAUUCAUCCUUUUUGUGCCCUUUUCUUUUCGCUCUGAUGAUCUAUUGCUAAGAGAUAGCUAGCUAGCUGCAUCAUUGUUUGGUAAUUUUGCUUUUUGUUCAUAUAUUUCUCGGACUACUUACUCGAAUUAUUCAAUUAUUAUUCGUCUUUUGUGUUCGGUGAAGCCCAAAAUUCAAUCUUUUUUGGGUAAAAAGAUUGAGUUUUUAGUCACAAUGGUUGCGAGGAGGACCCGUUCUAGAUCGAAGAGCGCUUCCUGGCGGUUCCUGUCGAAGCUAUCUUCUGCCUGCUCUGAAUGGUGUUUGAUCAUUUUGUUGUUUGUUAAUGCUGCAUUAUCGUACUUGGCGACAAAAUUUGCCCGGUUCUGCAAAUUGCAGAGCCCCUGUUUUUUGUGCUCAAGGAUCGAUCACAUUGUAGGCAACAAGGAACCCUGGUUCUGCGGAGAUUUAGUCUGCGGUGCGCAUAAGUCGCAGAUCUCGUGUUUGGCAUAUUGCCGAAGUCAUCAAAAGCUUGCCUUUGUUCAUGAUCUGUGUGAAAGUUGCUUCCUUUCAUCUCUGAAGCAGUUUGCAUCUAUCGAUGCCGAUGCAUCACAAAGUACGUUCGAAGGAGAAGAUUUGGCAAAAGUCCCUUUGCUAAAGACGGAUGCUGACACAAGGCUAUGUUCUUGUUGUUCGUCGCCAUUUAGAAGAAAAUCUCAUGUGCGUAGGCUGCUAAAAGAGAAGGAGAUCGAGGCCAAAACUGAAAGUGGGAUAAACCCACGAGAGAGGUCGAGUGAGAGAAGGGAAAUUUCUCUAGGGCAGACUCAUAUCUAUCAUUCGGAUGUUCAUGGGUUUGAUCAUUUGUCUCAUAUCGGAUACAGCGAGCUUAAGAUUACAUCCGAUUCAGAAUCUGAGGUCCCCAUCUCAGAAGAUGAUGAUGAUCGGAGUUCUCUUCAUCGUGGGGGCAAUGAUAUUAAGCAAGAAAAAAUGGAUCGAGAUCGAAAGUCACAGCCUGUCAUUUCUAUCAAUAAAAGUUUAUCUCCGCCUGUUUGCGAGGAUGUAAUUAAAGAGAAACUGAUCCAUCCCACUCCUGUAAUGCCUGUUGAUGCCGCCGCAUCAAAUUCUACGAAACAACCUAAUGUAGUGAUUGGACAUGGUUUGGAGGAGAUUAUUUGGAGUCAGGUUAAUGUGAGAACAGAUCUUGCUGCCUCAGUGCCUGAGCAUGUUCCCGCAGAAGUUCUAAAGGAAAAAUGUAAGUAUAGCAUCUUUUGUACAGUCAAAUUUGUUCUCAGUUUCAGGUAAAAAUGUACAAACCCUAACUGACCCAUAAAGCAUUUCAAAAUCUUUCAUAUCUGACGAGUGUAACAAACAUUUCAUUCCUUUCAUUUUCAGAUGACGAGUGUAACAAACAUUUCAUUCCUUUCAUUUUCAGAAAAGUUUAUCUAGUUCUGCCUGAACUUAACAGUUACUAGCAUAAUAUUCCAAUAAGUUUCAGAAUAUUCUGCCACAAAGUGAAAAAUACCAUUAAGUGUCAUCAAGGGGUGAUAUUAUUGAACAUAUUUUAUGCUUAGCAGCAAAAUCAAAAUAGUAAAGUAUAGUCACUAUCAAAAUGUGCCAUAUUUCAGUUAAGAUCUGUGCGUGUUUACCUUGAUUUUAUACUUUAUCUCUUUGCUUUUACUGAGCUAGUGGAUUAUUUCUUUGACAAUGUUUAAUAAUGAAUUUCAUUGAAUACCUAUCCAGUAGACAUAGAAGAAACUGGUGAUUCCGAGCAAGUUUUGUCUACUACUAACGGGGACGUCACAAAAGUUUCCACUCUGACGGGACUUAAAAAGCAUGUUAACAGUAGUGAACCGUGUCCAUCUAUACGUAUCUUUGCUGACAAAAGUGACAGUAUGAAGCGUGCUCUUAGCAACAAAGGGGCACUCCUUUCUCCUAAGCCUUCUGAAAUAAUAUCAGCAAGAGAAAACAGUUCUCGAACUCAUGAGGAUUUGAAGUUAUUAAUUUCUCAAAUAUCUUCCUCUCGAGGACUUGAUUUACCAUGGACUGAGAUGAGCCCUAGCCCCAGAUUAAGCAUGCAAGGUGAUGAAUCUAAACUUUCUGAUGCUUCCAGCUCAACAGGAAUUCAAAAUACCAACAAAAGAUCAUCGAUGGAAAGGAAUUAUUCUGGGUUGGAAUCAUACGAUGUGAGUGUUGUGAGUGAAGUCGAGGGAGAGAGCUCAAUUGAUCGGUUAAAGAGGCAGAUCGAGUUUGACAGGAAAUCCAUGAGCAUUUUGUAUAAAGAAUUGGAGGAAGAGAGAAGCGCUUCUGCUGUCGCAGCGAGUGAAGCGAUGGCGAUGAUUAACAGAUUGCAGGAGGAAAAGGCGGCGAUGCAAAUGGAGGCGUUGCAGUAUCUGAGAAUGAUGGAGGAGCAAGCUGAGUACGACCAAGAAGCUAUACAGAAGCUAAACGAUGUGCUCACAGAAAGGGAGAAAGAUAUACUGGAUUUGGAAGCUGAGUUAGAAAGCUAUAAGAAGCGGUUCGGAGAUGAAAUGCUCGAAGACAAAGUCAUAGAACAACCUCUACAUGGGUCGGAUGAAAGAGAAUAUAAUACGAACAACAUACCAUGCAGUAUCAUAUCAGGAUUACAAAGCACUGCAGAUAAGGAUCAUAAGAUGUUCAAGGACUCGAAUGGUUUCACUUUUGAGAAGGAUCCCUCAUUGGGUUUUGAAGAUGAGAAGGCUUAUAUUUUGGAAUGCUUGAGGAAACUGGAGAAAAAGCUUUGCUUAUUCUCGAGUAAUGCAGCUUAUGAUAAUGAGCCCGGAGAUGAUGGAAAGCGAACUAGCCAACUUGCUAACAACUACAGGAAGGAGAAUGGGGCAUUAGUCAAUGACACAACUAUGAAUGGUGGAGAUUCAAUUUCUGAAAACUCUGAUUGGAACAAAGAGAACUCCGAAAAUGGAAGGUCCGAAGGUGAGGUUGAGUCACACUCAUCGUUGUCAAGAGAGCAAUCAAAUGGCGAAGAAAUUUUCUUAACUUCAUCCCAGAAUAAAGAGAUUGCUGAAGAAAAUCACAAAGGAAGUAGUCCUUGUUCCAAUUCGGAAAAUGGCGCAAUCAAUGUAUCAUCUAAUAAAAUGAGUGACAUAACAGUUCUUAAAGAGGAAGUUGCACAGCUGAAUGACAGAUUCACGGCAAUUGAGGCAGAUCAAAAGUUUCUUCAGCAUACUAUUAAUUCACUCAAAAAUGGAAAUGGAGUAGAAUUCAUCUCUGAGAUAACUAGCCACUUACGAGAACUGCGGAGGAUGGUUAGUGCAGGGAGAGAACAAGCUGUAGCUUGAGCCUUUCAUUUCUUUGAUGAAAUGGUAAUUUUUCUCAGAAUAAGCCAUCUCUCAUUCUCCGUUGAUUAUGGACUCUCUUGAGAUUUUAAUAGUUGCCACUAGUUAUUUGUCUGAAAUUUAAUUUUGCAGAUAUUUACUCUGAUGUUACCAGCAUUACACUACAGAGCUCGCCCAACCUUGAGGUAAUGCAUCUAUAUGGUUUUUGAUGUUUCGACCUCAAGAGUUGAAGAUCAACGGCUUUCGGGUACAAUGAAAUCAGCUGCGAUUUCUUCAGAAAUAGACUGUUUCACAAAGUUUUAUUUGCUUUAUUGAGGAGAAAAUAUUUUUUGUGCGAUUGUCAUUUGGAGAUUAGGUUGAAGUGUCAAUUCGACUAAAAUUAAUAGUUCCUUCCUGCUGAAUUUAUCUAUCUAAUUUUUCCUGGUGAUGUAUUUGGUACAAAACUUUGGACAACGUAUACAUUUCUAGAUCCAAGCAAAGUACUUUCUGUGUAUGAACAAGUCUCUCUUCUUCUUCUUCUUCUUCUUCAAUUUGGUGGCUCCGGCGAGUAAUUCGAAGCAAUUUGUUGCGCCAGGUAAUAGGAUUAUUCCUUUAGAUUCCAAACCGCUAGGAUCUCAUUGGUGAGGCAUGGAUUGAGAAAAAAGAACACAACUCAGUUCUGAGAUGCAACAGGAACAGUUUACAUGAUCGAAUUUUUGCUAGCGCCAAAGAAUCAGUCCAGAUAAAUAGGCCAUGAACAAUUAUCCUAACAUAAAGAAAAACAACUUGAAGCUUUGAAAAUAUUGUAGUUCUCUGUAGUUCUAAUAAUUGCAUCUCUUCCCAAAAAAUAUCAGGUGAAAAAAUCCUCUGUAAAAUUGGCGAGUUUAUCACUAAAUUGCAAAGUUAAGACCUUGCUUAGUUAUUUGGAGACAGGCUCCAAGGGACAUCUCAUAUUUGGUUGCAAUAAAGUGCAAAACCAACAUAAAUAAUCAUUUGUUUGCAUUUGCCUUCAGAAAUAAUAUAUAUCAAAAUUGACAAUCACAAGAUCACGAAAGUCGAAAAGUGAGUCCACAAGCUUAGUAUUCCCUCAUCCGAACACAAUCAUCGGCUCGCUGCAUUAGUCUUUUGUUGCAAUUUUCUCGCAAAUGUCGCAGCCACUAGAAGAGGAAAAGCAAUAGUUGCAUCGCAAUGAACCUGGUUGGAUUCACUAGUUAGCACUACCAUAGCAAAGGUCUAUACAGUAUUAAGCAUGCUCAGUGAUCAAAAGGCACAAUUACAAAUUGGCAGGAUGAUUUAACUAUGCAGGUCCUUUCAAUUAUUAAAGGGUAAAUGUUCCUAACUACCUAGAGUAAAACCAUGAAAUCUAUUAAUGACUCAUAAUGCUCCACUAAAGCCAGAUUUGUUCGUGUUUUCUAAUAGAACGUUAGCAACUGGAUUUAAGGGAGAACUAAGGUGAGAACAUUAAAAGAGUUGGUAAUGUUUUGACGUCUAGUGUUCGUUGCCCACCAGCGAUUUUCUUAGUAAUUCCAAAUAGGUAAGGAGGGAACAAAAGAAUAAUAAGAUAAAUAGAUAAAAGGCAUACCUUAAUGGCUUUAGCUGAACCUUUAAUCUUUCCCCAUGAAACAGCUUCAUCCGGCUGAGCUCCAGAGUCACUCCCAUCAAAUUCUUGUGCUGUGUUUAUAUAAACAGCAUAGUCCGCACCAUUUCGCAGCAUAUUAGCAUUACAUAUAUGGUGUUUCGGGAGCCCCCCUCCAAGAACCAUAAUCCCAGUUUUUCUUGGACUGGCAUGAACAGCUUCUCCAUUCAUCGCACGAAUGUCUACACAAACUAGGAACUUAGAUAUUGAAUACUAACAAGUGGAACAGCCAAAGGAGAUGCAUUGUACCUUGCACAAUGUCGAUAAGUAAACCAGGAUUGUGAACUGAAUGGCAGUACAGCAUGUCCCCCAAUGAUCCAUCAGUCAAUGCCGGGCAGAAAACAGGUAUACCAUUCUAGUCAAGUUUUAAAUCACAAACAUUCUAAUUACAUCGUCUGAAAACUAAACAAGUACGAGACCAACUUAAAACCAAUAAAGUAUGAUAGCAAACAUCAGUGGAUGACUAAUUAACAAGGUAAUGUAGAAUUCAUCAUAAUGAAAAAGAAAUCUAUGAGUAGCUUUUUCCGUUGAUGAUUUGUCUUAUUUUUGGCAGUCUGCUAUCCAGAAAAUUGUUCUAAGACACUGGAGGUAUGUAGGAAAAACUGCAUACCUUAUAUGACCAGUAAAGGUAGGAGCUUUCAUCAUUUAUUUCUUUGCCAAGGCGGGAGAUCACCUUUGAUGGUGUCCAAAUUACAUUCUGACAAAAAAGUUUGGAAAACAUUCUGCACCAUUACAUAGCAUGUAAAUACAAAAAUAUGCUACACUGACAAAAACAUAGUUAUUUAACGACAGAAAUGUAGACCUCUAGCAAUUACUAUUUAAAUCACCAAGAUAGCCUGGCACAAAUACCUCCGUAGAUUGUUCUAGUAACAUCUGGUCGAGAAGUGGCAUAAUCCAAUUCUCAAAUUUGCAGUAAUUGUCAUUAGGCACCAAUAAGUUUCCAAUUCGAUUCAAUCCUUUUGAGCGCAACAAUGCUCCGGGCAGAGAAAAGUCACCUUUAUAUGUCGGCGCAAGGCAUUUGAUUAGGUCCUCCUCUAUACCACCAGCAGUUGUAACCAAGACAUCUACCUACAAAAACAUGUCUUUCUGAAUAAAAAUUUUCAAAAAAAAUGCAUGAAAAGAAAAUUUUUUAAAAAAAGAAAGAUUUGCGAAAGCACAAUCUUUUCAUCCAAAAUCAAAAGAAGAUAAGCAAGUAAACAUUCGAAAAUGUGCUUAUAUUGCAUAAAUGCCCCUUCUUAUAGUAUAAAUGCCCCUUCUUUAUAGUAUAGCUACAUAUGGUUCAACAAUUAAGUUCGAUAACUGGACUUACCCCCAUAAUAUCUCAUUGAACAAAAUACAAGUCAUUCAAUCAUUAACAAUUCAAAAGGAUAAAACAAGUUAUCCCACCAAUUGUUUCCACUGAAUAAAACAAAGAGAUAAAGAGUUCAAUUUCGCCUACUCAGUACAAAAAAAUUUGAACUUGGAGGAUCACUCACCAUCCGAUGCUGCACGAGAAACCGAAUUAUGUCCCGAAUCCCAGAAGAUACAAGAUUCGAAGUGAAUCCUAAAAAGAUUUUGCACUUAACCGAUUCUCUGUAAGCAGGAUCGAGCUCUUCCUCGUCGCAAUCUCCACCCGGCUUCUCGUGAGACAACCUCCAAUCUAACUUCAAAUCGUUCAAAGCACGAUAGUAGAAAAUAAAAGAACCACACAUAAGCAUACACGGCGCUAGGGUUUUUUUUUUGAGGUUGGGGGAGCUCACCAUCUGGUUUACGACGGUGACGGCGUCGCCGAGGUUGGAGGCUUGGAAACCAGUGGAGGCCAUGGACGCGAGGAGGCCGAGGAGGUUGUCGGCGCCGGAGUUGAAGUCGUAUCCGGCGAUCCUCGGGAACCGCUCCUCGUCUAGGGUUUCCGAGGGCUUCAGCACCACCGCGCGCACAGCCUCCAAGGCCUCGCGGUCCCCCGCCCCCGCGUCGGCGCCCCCGUUCAUGGCCACACGCACGCACGCGCAGACGCGAGAGAGAGGGAAAGAGAGAGAGAGAUAGAGAGAGGUGUUACGAAGAGGAUGUAGUGUCCCGGACUCGUCGCAACCACCGAUGAUGAAGCGUGAAAUGAACGAAGUGAAUAAAAGCGAGAAAGGUGUUCGACGUGGAACUGCGACAGCUUAAGCUGGACGAAAGGGAGAACUUGUAAAAGCAAUUGGGUGGCGAAUCUCUUAUCCCACCCGACCUACCCAAACCCGAUUUGGAUUUAGUUUGAAUCGGGUUUCGUUUCCAUGACUCAAUUUAGGGGAUACAGUAUCCGUGUUUUAGAGUUAGAUCAGAUAAAUUGAAACAUUGUGUGUCAAACAAAUGCCUCUUCCAACCAACUAAACUAAAGAUUCUUCUAGAAUUUUAUAUACAUGACACGAUGAAUAAAAGGAAAAUUACAACCACAUGAUACAACACAUCAAUAGAGCAAAAGAAGAUUUAAUUAGGGUAUAACACAGAAAAUGAUGGACAUAUAAUUCCUUAAAGCAGUUAUCUGCCACGGUUAGGGCAAACAUUUGCGAAAUGCGAGGGGUCGCCACAGACGUAACAGCAACCGGAUACCGGCUCACCAGUCGCUGACACGAAUGUAACACCAUCACCGCGUCCUCCUCUCCGGCCUCGCCCACGGCCCCCUCGCCUUCCAGCUGAUGAUGACCUGUUACUGCUUCCACGAGGCUCGCCACGACCUCGCGAAGCACCAUUCUCCAAAUUAUCUUCCCAUCUACAUUUCAUAUCAAAUUUUAACAGAUUGAAUGUAUAAUCAUAUGCACUAUUUUUUGUUAGUUAAACUGCACAUAUACAUAAACAAGCCUGUUCUGACAGGUCACAACAUACACGAAGAAGCUGCAUUCUUGGGAUUGGCAGGUGUAGAAUCUCCUCCCUCUGUUACUUUCCGUAUUCGCUGUCCGUAAGGCACAUGGUUCUCCACAUGAGCUACACAGGACUUGACCUGCAUUUGCAUGAGAACACAGAAAAGGUACCCAGCAAUUUCAGAAAACAAAUUGGGAAAACAAUAAAAAAGCGAUUCCCACUAUAUGUGAAGACAUCUUUCUUCAUGUACAAAGAUUGAAUGUUGAGAGCGCCUCGGUUUGAUGCAAAAUCACCUGAAGUGUUUCUGGAGUUUUGGGCACGGGUUGAUUGAAAACCACGUGAACGCGAAACCUGGGAGGGGCAAUCAUUUGAGGAAUGCCCUGGUUGCCUGCAAUAUGUGCAAGAUUCCUGCCUUGAAUUCCCACGUCGAACACUACUUGGAGUUUCUGUUGUUCGCUGCCCUCUUGCUGGCAAGGUACAACAAAUGUCAAGUUUUAUUAGAAAAGAUUAAUAUUAGAAAAGAUUAAUCUCCUAGUUUUUCUCGAUUACCUUUAUGUCUUGUAUAGUAAGAGCUAAUGAAAAGACGGGCACAUCGGUAUCUCAAAGCAGGAAUUGACAGGUCUAACAUUAUCCACGUGAAAAAAAAAAGCUUGGACAAAAGGAGAGAAUAGCUGUGUACUAAUUGAUAUUGUACAGGCUCUUUAUAUAUGUAUCCCAAGGCAAACCUGUCGCGUUAGACUGAUUUCGAGAUCCUGUCCCACAAAUCUCUGUUAGUUCCCUGAGUGUGGAAUCACAGCCACCAAUGCAACCUAAGAAACGCAAAAGUUUUUUGAGUCAAUUUAAAAGUGAAACAGAUGUUAAGAACUUGAAAUUUCUACAUCCAUAAAUUUUGAGUCAAGAAACCAAGAAAAUCCAUGUUUAUGCAUUGUAAAGUUGAAGCAUGUCGUUUUUGAAAUAAAUGCACAUUGAGCCAGAGACAAUGAACUCAACAUAAUCACAAAAACAAAUUAAGGGGUAAAAACUAUUGUGCGAGUUUAUAUACAUUCUAUCAGGACAAAUAUAUCAGAGAUACUAAAACAUGAAAACAUCUUUAGACGAGAAUCAAGUGUUGAAUUGCACAUCAGGAAACCCUGGCUAUGAACUUUUAUGAACUUUAGCGUGUUGCACUUGAUGCACCAAACUUCAAUUAGAAGCAGAUUAAGCAACUAUCCAGCUUCUAAGUGCUGUUAAAUUUAGCUAAAAGAGAGAGGACGUGGCAGUUGAAUCAGAUAUUAUUACACUCAGGCGUAAUGGUUUUCUUAGUUUAAUAACGACCACUAAUUAGAGAAUGAAAGUCUACAAUGAUAAACUUUUACUAUUACUAUCAUGAUAGUUUACUUACCAAGGUGAUCAACAUCAUAAUUCGGUGGUAUCUCCACCCGACGAAACUUAAACUGAAUCAUGUAUACAGGGCCUAUUUAUAAAACAGAAUAUUAGUCACAAAUUAAAUAAAUGAGAAAAUAACUAAAGUGUAAAAUUUCACAUUAUUUGAAGUCAAUAUUGUUUACACUUAUAAUGACAAUUAUAGGAUCACCUGGAGCACAUGUAGGGCAAACAUUACUGGUCACAGCUGCUUCUGAUAACGACCCUGGGAGCCAAACUACAUUUCUACACUGAAAAAUAUAGAGAUUUUAUCAGUGUGAAUAGUCUGCAUAUCGUGUAUCCUGAAAUUGAUGACUUCAGGAUGGAUUCAAACUUACAUUUUCCUUAUGAAUUAUUAAAUUUAUGGCUCCUACAAGAAUUUAUCAUUUAGUUUAUAAAGUAACGGGGACAGGAAAACUUACCAAUGGAAAGUGCAAACAUCCAACCAUAAAUUCACCAUUCUGGAUAAAAGAGACAAGGAUGCACAGUUCAGCUCAAUCAGAUGAUUUUCAUGUUAUUUCUUCAAAGCUCAAUACAUUGGUUGAAUAUUAUUACCGGCCUUCUCUUCAGCACCAUAUUAGAUUCAUUGCAAAUACCACAUGGCCUCACAACUUCUCUAAAAUUAUUAGCAUCUCCACUAGGUCUAUUGGAUCUAAACAAACAGAAAAGCAUCCUAUUAAGUUAAGAGCUAGAGAAAAAGAAGAAAAAAAAAAAAAAUCCAGAGAGAUCUGAUUAACACCUUUCAAAGAAUAUCUCCAUUGCCUCAAGAAGUUUGACUUUAUUCACCCUUGCCUGAAAUGAAUUCAAGAAAGAUUGUGAUAUCAACUUACAAAGGAGCUAAUGAAACAUGAGUGAGCUCACAAUGGCAUAUGCGGAGAAUAAUAAGUCACAUAAACCUAAGAAAACGGCAAGUAUGAACAGAAUAGAACUCUGAAAAUCAAUUGUUUGAUUAUUCAGUUACUGCAUGGCACUACCAAAAACAUGCAGAAACAAAUUUUCAAGUGCUAUUCAUAGGAAAGAACAAAAACUUAGAAACAUUUUACAGAUAAAUAUGCAACCAACAACUAAGUAGUCUGUUGUUUUUUCAAAUUUGAAAACAUGGGAUGGCAGAAUACACAUCAUUCUACAAUGAAGGUGUGAAGACAUGAGGCACAGAUACAAGCUAGAAGGUAUUCAAUUUCAUGCAAAUAUUCUCAGCUAGCCUCCUUAUGUUACCAGUAAUACUUCUUCCACAAUAAUAGAAAAAUGAAAGAAAAAGCUGCAAACUACUUACAUCAAGGAAACAAGCUUUCAUCUGCUGCAAACAAUUCUCUAGGACUUCAGAUUUCCUCUUUGUACCCAUGCUGACUGCUUUCAUGUCGCACUCCAUCAUUGAUCUGAGGUAUGGCUUCCAGAGCUCAUACCUGAAAAGGCUGACUAUUCAGUUUAGUAGCUCACUGUUAUUUAAAUUUAUAAUUUAUUACGAGUUGUAACAACUGGAUUUAAUAUUUUUCCUUACAAAAUAUUCCUCACAAAAUGCAACUUUCAAACAAAAAAGAAAACAUUUCUCGGUCCUUUAAAUCUUUAAAAGACUUGCCAUUUUAAAUACUGUGAUUGAAAGUAAUCAACAAUGGACGCAGAAAGUAGAUAUUGCGUGUUCAAUAUAUAUAUAUACUAAUGUAGUACACACAAAGUUGAUUUGAAGUACACUGUAUAACUUGUACACUAACAAUCAAUCACAUACCCCAUUUCAUCGUAACCCAUUACUAAUGCCUCACCCUGCAGUCAAUAGAACCCAUUAGUAGAACAAAUAUGAAAAUUACGACAUAGUGCAAGGUAAGAAAUCUAGCCUACUCAAGUCAUGCUUUGUCAUAAAGGAAUGAGAGAUGCAAUCUUUCCGUUUCUUUUUGCAAUCCAUCUUUUCCCUUUCUUCAAUAUUUUUUCUGAUUUUCCUACUAUUUGUCAACCUCCUUUGCAGAUUAUAACCUCAUCUUCAGAAGUACAUAAUGACUAGGAGACUUAGAAUUGAACCAAGGAAAAAAGAACAGUUCCAUGAACAAACCUUCAACAUAUCACAUAAUCCAAGCUGACUAAGAGCGCAUGAGCAUGAAGAAACAUAGGAGAUUUAUUGGUUAAAUAAAUUCAUACUCGAAGGAUCACAACAUAUUAAUUUGUGGGUGAAUUUUUGUAUUUCCAUGCACCCUGCCUUUUUAAGCUUGUUUCAGUUAAAGCUGAACAUGGAGCAUUGCUAAACUACUUUCAGAUACAAACUGAACAUACAGCCUCUUUUGUAUUUUCAAGCAUUCAUGAUAUCUAUGUCAUACAUGAUGGGAAAACAAACAAUAUAAAAUUGCGGUUACUACUCUGAGAAGCCUUCUAAAUUACAAUAUUCAUGACGUACCAUACAGCAUCAAAAGAAAAAGAUAUCUAGCCAACCAAUUAUUCAAGCAUGCAAAUCUAAAAUAAGGAGAUCGAAGAAAAUAAAAAAAAUGGAACACAAAUUAGGUGGAAUAAAUUACAAGAUUCGUUGGAGAAAAACGAGUAUUUGAAUCUUUGGUUGCAUAACAUCGAUCAAGUAACUUUUUGAUGUGAUCAUGCAUUGUUGCAUCAGUGCCAAUUCCUGCCUAGAAUUAGAACAAGAAGAGUCAAACCUUAUGAAGUAAACUACCUAAGAGUUACAAAAAUUGCUCACCCAAUAAAACUUAAUACCAGUAGACUCACCUUGUCCAUACAACUAAGGAGAUCAGCUUCACUUAAAAGAGGAGGUGGUCUUGUCACCCCUGAAUCAAGUGUCAAACUUGUUGGGAUAAACUGCAUGGCAGAAGUACUUCAAGAACUUAAAUACAGGAACAAUAGAAAAAACUCUAAGCAACGAUAACAGAUGAAUGCAAAACAAGUUAAAAUCGUGUAGGUAAUAAUGAUAACUAAUAUAACUAGAAUUUCUUGAUAAGAUAUCUGGUAGAAGAGUAUCAAAUGAAGAGACAAAUCAGACAGUUAAUAUGCCACCAAUGCUGGAAUACUUAAAAAGUUAUUGGCAUAAAUCCCCAGCAUCAGAAAAUGAAAUGAUCAGCAGAAUGUGCUUACAAUAAACAAAUUUUGGUUGAACCUUUCAUUUGAAAGAGACAAAAAUUCAUUAUUGAGAUGAUGCGAAUUGUUUGAGAUAAAUAACUUGGUCUCAUGGAAGAGGUAACAUCAACAAGAAAGAUGUUUUCUCUUACUGAUGCAUUGGCAAAGGCGAUUAAGAUGGAAGUCAAUAUUAACAGGAUAUUUACAUUGACAAUUACACAAAGUUAGGUGUCGUUCUGAAUGCUUUCAGAUAAUUAUAAAAAAUAGCGCAUACUCUGUUGUAUGAAGCCUAUGACUACUUGCACCAUGUUUAGAUUCUAUUAUCUCCUCAAAUAUGAGAAAUUAACUUAUCAAAUCAACAUUAAGUGUCACUGAUGGAAAGUACACUAGGAUAGAAUGGCUAACCUGUUGCCCAACUGUGUAUGUUGGCAGUAGGGUACCACCCCAUGACUCAAAGCGAUAAACAUCCAAGUAAUUUUUCUACAAGAUAAAAGAGAAAGGAAGAUUAAAUUAAGACUAAGUAAUAACUAUAAUUUUCCGUAGGGUAACAACAUUCCUUAUUUUGUAUAUCAGAUCAGAACCUCUUAGUAAUGUGAUUUCAUUACUGAUAAAUAACAUAUAUCAGUCAAAAGAACAGUAAAUUUUCAAAUUUUCAAUCAAUACAAAAGGUGAAAACAAACAUUCAAACAAAAGAACUUCUCUUCUUUAUAUAAGGAUCAUCUAUUUAGCUUAUGACCUCACUAAAUAGAGUGUUUCUCAUUUAGAUAUUCCGCUACAAACAGAAAUAAGCUAAAAUAAAUAUUCAUGGUUAUAUAUGAAGUGUUCAUGGUUAUUAUCUCUACAUACAGAGAGUAGGGUGCAAACAACUUAGAUGAGAAGCACUUCAGAUGCAACUAAACAAUGAUUUUGUGCCAAAGAAGACAUGAAAAUUACACUUGUAUACAUCAUAUUGUUAUUGCAACGGUGCGUAUAAAUUUCCUCUAUUUGCUUAAGUGGUUUUAUAUUUUCUACCUCUGAUUACAACAGUUUGAUAGGCAAGGACUCAAAUAAUGACGCAUAAAGUGCAGGUCAUCUGUUUCAUCUGCACCUUUUUUUUGUGUGUAUCUUUAUGCUCCACAGUGAAGAGAAUAUUAGCAAUAUAUAGUAAUGGAGACAUCAUUGACAAUCAUGAACAGGCAAAGAAUUCUACAACAGAGAAUGCAUCAAGUAUAAUGUGCAAAAAAAAAGAAGUUAAAAACUUAUAAGAAACUAAAAUAUUAAAAAAAACGUACAGCAAUUAUCACACGUCCAGAUGCAUUAAACUGUUCACCCGCAACGUCUAUUUCUACAGUUGUUUCAGCUCCAACAGCAGGUUGUGAUACACAAGCAAGGAAAUGGCGAACGACAAGCUCAUACAAUUUCUGGAGCAAAUCAUGUAUCAAAUUAAUGAUCUUGUAACAGCAUAUGAGUAAUUAAUAAUUAUGUCCUACUUUUCUAAGAUUUAAUGGAGAGAAGUUAGUACAUCACAAUAAAUAAUAGGGUAAAUGUAUGGAUAGUUCCUGUACCAUCCCAACAUUCUGACUUGGCCUAUGUACUUUUCACAAACAUUUUAGUUCGUGAAAAAUGACCAUUCUACCACUUCUCCUGAAAGAUGACUUUCCUUAUUUCAAUUUGCUUGAAAUAAGUUAAAAGUUCAUUUUACAGCUAAAGUCAACAGAUGUCAGAUUUUUUUUUUUUAACAUUCAGAGAUGGAAUACAUAUGUUAAAUUGUCAUUAGAGUGUUUAACGUGAAAAGGUCAAGGACCAAUUCGCAGUUUCGAGAUCAUACAGGAACCCAGCAUACAUCUUACCCUAUUCUUGCUGCCAUCUAAGAUAAGUAGAUACAUUAUGGUCCUGACUCCACCCAGGUUCGCCAGCCGAAAACUUCGUUGGAUGAAUAGGUGGGUGAGCCUUGUCAUCAUGCCCUCCAUUACUGGGGUUUCUCCACAGCCCUGCCUCCGAAUGUAGAAGUCGUUGAGCAUAUGAACCCCAAACAUGAUGUCCAACUUGAUCUCGCACAAUUCCCUAGAUAAAGAAGUGGUCCAAUAGCUUCAAAUCAAAGAAAAACACCAAAUCCAAGAGAGGAAAAUACAAUUUCAAAUAACUGUACAAAAAGAAAGGGUUUUUUAGGUCUUCGUAUAUUUCUUGUUUGCUAAGUCACAUAAAUUUUGUUAGCCAAAUCUAGCAAAUCAAUAUCUUAAACAAUAUUUUUGACGAAAAAAUAUCUCUUAAAAGAUUUACAACUUUCGUAGGCAUGAGAAAUUGAGAAUUACAAGAGAAACAAAAGCAAUCACACAAAGAGGAAAAGCAACUACGGGAAGCAACUGAAGCAUUUCUUAUAAACACCACAUGCAACUGAAUACCAACAUGUAGGUCUGUGUUCACUGAGAAGCCAUCUGUCUCUGUACGAGGAUAACUGAUGAAACCAGCUUGAUAUAGCUCUUCUGCAACCUAGGUACAAAACACACGAGGAAUAGUUUUAACGGUAGUGAAAUAUAAUAAUGUUAUCAAAAAGAUACAAUAACUCUUGCAAGAAAAUAGUGUAAAGGAAAUUGGAUGAUAAUCACUAUAAGUCUCAUGUUUAUUUCUUCACUUUCUUUCAAAAAUUCUUUACUUUCCCUAUAAACUAUAAAGGGUGAUGAAUAAGUCUGCUUGUACUAUUUUUAGGAUAGUACAUGUACCAUAUAUUACAAGGAGUUUUUUGGUACAAGUGCUGAACGAUGAAGUUCCAAUUCUUCUUUCACCUAAGUUACCUCUUACCAUGAGAUAUUUUAAAUCAUAUCACAAUUUUUCAGUGUCUGUGAACAUUAAUAUGUGUAACUACAUAAAAGUACAAAUCAGAAACAAGAGAUAUCCCUAAAAAUUUGCAUGGAAAUCACAAGAAAUAACGGUGAAGACACAAAAGCAGCAAUUUUAUCCUUGCAUGGAAGGUGAUGCCAAUAAAGAGGACUAAUAUCAGCACCUCAGUCCUUACCUUCAUGGUGUGUUCAGAACUCAUUCUGAAAUAUCUGGAAGCACGUUUUUGAAGCUCAACUGUACUCAAUGGAUAUGGGGGAUACUUCAGCUUCUCAUGGUGCUUGACAUUCUUGACCUACAGAAACAUCAAGGAAAGGAAGAUUAGGUGCCAACAAGAAUCAUAUAUUUUUCAGAGGAUGAUAAUUAUGUCAGCCUCACAGUUGCAGUUGGUUCUUCAACACACAUCUCAUAGAUUACAACAGCACAAUUGUAAUCAAACAGAUGACCACGCCUGUACAGAGAAACACAGUUACAUAUAUUUUAUUUGGUAAAAUAAUAAUUUAACUAAAAUAACAGGGAAAAAAAGUGCCAUCUUACAUCCAACUAAAAUUAGCAGUGCCCUCCUCAGAAGUAUGUGAACAGUUUAUUGUCCAAAACUCCUCUGGCUCGUGGGACUGUAUCUCCCAAUAACGUUCCACAAUAAAGCCAAGAGUUGGAAACUGAACAGAAGAAGAAAGUACCCUCAGUUCUAAGGAAGCACUCAAUAAUUGAAAACAGAUCAGCAGUUGUUAAUUGUAGAAAACAGCAUACCUGACAAGGACCAUAGCUUAGUACAAGGUUCCUCUCAUCCCCAGCAAAAUCAAGAACAAAUGCAUCUCGUAGCAGCAUCGUCUGAAACCUAGUGAAAGAAGCACCUAUUCGGAGGUCGAUUUCCUGCCAGAUAUUCCCAACUAUCAACAUGAGGUUACAAAGUCCAAAGCACCCAACUACAGAAGCAAAAAAGGUACGAUGUUGUAGUGUGAGUUUCAAUUUCAGAAAAGGAAGUGAAUAUCAGAAGGCUGAAACUGCCUAUAUAGUCUGCUAGUUGACAAAAUAGUAUAAACGCAGAUAACCACGUAAGACGAGUUAGCCCUGGAGAAUCAAGAUAGUUUUUAUAGCUCCUCUUGAAAAGCUUAAGGGUCUUGAAGAUCCCCUGUUUUCACCAAACACAGAUCAUUGCAACUAUUUGCUUCAACUGUUGGUGUAGCUCUAGAGCAACUGAAUUCACAGCUACUCAGAGAAUUACGUAAUUAUAUGACAAAUGUUGGAACUUGGAACUUACCUGCCUGGCGUCAACUGCAUCAGCAAACAAUUUGUUGGGUCUACCAAGAUUCGCUACUGAUUCACGUAUGUCCCUGUCAUUUUCAAAGUAAGCGAAAGACGUAAGCAGCAAAAUAGCAUUGUGGAUGCCAAAUAGACGGCAGUUACUCUCAGCCCAUUAGCACCUGUCGGUUAAUGCCGAGAAAUGAGCUCUCCAUAUGUCGAGAUGACGGUUCGCAGCUGUGCAAACCUCGACCACCUCGAACGCAAUAUUUUCACCUUCCCUGUCACAGUCAAGCCACAAUACAAGCCAUUGGCAUUUCCUGGCUUCCUCCUCCAGAGUUUUCUUGAUAUCCAGCUUGUCCUGCAGUUUACAUAAAAACAACCAAACAAAAAAAGAAAAAAAAAUGCAAAUUAAAUAUGCUGAAAAUAAAUAAUAACAGAUAAUGCCAAAGAUAUAUCCAAAUCUAAUCCACUAUUCGUCAGUUUUUAGCCACGGUCGCUAUCAACGUCGCACUAAUGUCCUUCCCGACAAAAUAUUCAAAUUCCCUGCUGGUGAUUAAUACAGGAUCUAAAACUUCAGAUACUUCGCCAAAUUUUACUCUGGGAAGUACGACCUCGAAAAUGUCUCAUUUUUCUUUGAUAUACGUUACGCAUUCCGAGCAUGUACAUUAAGCAAAGAAAAAUAUUUAAACUUUUUGAGGCGAUUUCGAAUCUAAAUAAACAACUAGCUCCGAUCUCUCAUCAAAUCUCUCCACAUCACGAUCAACACUCCACACGUCGAUUCUAGUAAGUUAGGGGGAGCAAAGAGCGAGAGAUGGUAUUGUGGGUCGGGACCUGGGGGACGAGCUUGCGGAGGGGGGCGUGGUAGAGGUCGGUGGGGUCGCAGGAGUUCCACUUGCGGAAGCGGUCGUCGAAGUCGAGCUCCAUGAGGUGGCCGGUGACGGAGGUGAAGAGCAUGAGGCAGGGGCGGCCCCCGAUGCUGUACUCGAACUCGAACACGCGGUUGUACCGCGACCGCCCCUCCCGCGACCGGAGCCCGCCCCCGCCCCCGCCCCCGCGCGACAGGAUCUCCGACACCGCCUUCGCCACCGACGGCUUCUCCGCCACGUUCAGCACCCGCAUCAGCCCCCGCCCCCCCGACAUUUGAACUCCUUUCCCUUUUUUUCAAUUUAGAGAGGGGCGGGCGCGCGCGGUUUCCUCCUUUCUUGCGCUCUUUCUCUCUCUCUCUCCCCCUUCUCUGGGGAAGAUGCGUUACUACUAACUUACUAUAUGGUGGAGCUGGGGAAGCAGAAGUGGCGGGUCGGGUCGGGUCGGGUCGGGUCGGGUCGGGAGAAGUUUUACUUUAGGUGGCAGGAAGUCGGCAACGACACGUCCGGUUCGCAGGCGUCCGCCAUUUCACAUCCCGUGACGCAGCAGGCAGGGAAACAGGGCAAAUCCGAAGGUGCGAAGGUUUUCCCACAUUUCGCUUCAUUUUCUGUCGGGACGGAACAAUUCGGGAUAGAUUAUUUUUUAUUUUAUUUUUGGCUUUCAUUUAUCAUCCAUUCAAGACGAUCUGGGUGAGAAUGAAUUUUUGCUAAAAUUUUAACGGAUCCGGACAGAUUGAAGGAAAAUAAAAAUUUUUCACCUUACGCUUUAUUUACUUGGCGGAUCACGACAGUUUAUAUUUUUUAUUCCCACUUAUCGUUUCAUUCGAGGCGGAUCAGAAUGGGAGCUCCACUAACUCGUAUUCAUUUACAUCUCUAAACUUUCUGCUCUCACACUCCUCGUCUAUCCGCAAGUGUCGACAUUCCAAGACAAUCUAUAAACUAAAAAUUAGACACCAAUACUGCCUUCGUGUAUUAUGCAAUAUCGAAAUUUUGAUGCCAACAACCUUAGCUGUUGCGACUCCUGUGGAACAAUCAGGCCCCUUGCUUUUGCCCAGUCAUUGUUACACUCGAGUCGGUGGGUAAACAAUCGUCGAGUCCGUGGGUAAACAAUCGCCAUGUUCUUUUAACUCAGGUGUCUGACUAACAAGUCGGCGACGAGAAGACUCCCAAUGCAGAAUUCGAUUGUAUAGUUAGAUUAUGCGACCGCGGUCGGACACACGCUCACGCGAACCAAACCGCACAUCGAAACGCAGAUUACGUAAGCGUGCUCAAACAUGUCUCACCCAUCAAAACCAGUCAUAUCACGCCACGUCACAUACAAAAGUUUCUACAAUGGGAUGAUAUCUCUGCUCUUCCUGUUCUACCGGGCUCAGCCGAUGCUUCCCCACGACCCCACGAAGGCCUUCCCCUCCAAGACCAGUGCGAAACUAACCGCCCCUAUCGCACUUACCCCCAUCGCUCUCGAACUCGCGUCCAUGGCUUCGUCUUCUUCCUCCUCCUCCUCCUCCGCCCCCGCCGCGCCCUCCGAAACCCUAGCAGUAAAUUCACCGGACGCCGGAACCCUAAUUCCGGGCCUCCCCGACGAUGUCGCCGCCCUCAUCCUCGCCUCCCUCCCCUACCCGCACCAGCUCCGCCUCCGCUCCACAUGCCGCUCAUGGCGCUCCCUCCUCUCCCCGGCGUCCCUCCUCCCCCUCCGCCGCCGCCUCCGCCUCCCCCGCCGCCAUCUCCUCUGCCUCUUCCCCUCCGACCCCUCCCUCACCCCUCCCCUCCUCUUCGACCCCGCCGCGCCCGCGUGGUCGCCGCUCCCGCCUCUCCCUUGCUCCCCGCACAUCUACGGCCUCUCCAACUUCGUCCCCGUCGCCCUCGGCCACCACCUCUACCUCCUCGGCGGAUCCCACUUCGACACGCGAUCCUACCCCCUCGGCCACCCCUCCGCCUCCGCCGCCGCUUACCGCCUCGACCUCGCCGCUCCCCCGCCGCUCGCCUGGUCGCGCCUCCCCGACAUGCUCGUCCCGCGCGGCAGCUUCGCCUCCGCCCCGUUCCCGAUCCCUAGAACCCUAAAUCGCGAGGCCGAGGGCAUCAUAGUCGCGGGGGGCGGGUCGCGGCACCCCGUGUAUCCCUCCGAGGGGAGCCGGAUGAGCUCCGUCGAGUGGUACGACGUCGCAUCCGGGGAGUGGAGGAUGUGGGAGGGGCUCCCGAGGUACCGUGCGGGGUGCGUAGGGUUUGUGGUGCGACGGGACGAGGAGGAAGCGGAGGAGGAAGAGUUUUGGGUGAUGGGAGGUUAUGGGGAGUACCGCACGGUUUCGAGAGUGGUCCCUGCCGAUGUGUUCUACAGAGACGCGGUGGUGCUAGGGUUGAAGAGUGGGAAGUGGAGGGAGGUGGGGGAUAUGUGGGAGGAAGGGGAGAGGACGAAGCUCGGCCGAGUGGUGGCCGUGGAUGGCGACGAUGGCUGGGCUAAGGAAAUCUUCAUGCUCGACUGCAAUGAGAUUUUCAGGUGUGUUUUCCUUUCUAUAUGUCUUCCAAAGCAUAUUGCGGAUAGCAUAUUUGUUCAAUCAAAUGUUGUUCUUUUGUGUCUCAUGUGCUAUUAUUGUGGUCUUCCCAUCAGAAUACUAGAGGUAAUUCCGACUGCUUUGUUCAGAAGCAUUCAAGCUUAAUCAUGUUGUGAAUAUACAAUAUGCAGUAAGACAUACAAAUGAUGUUUUGGAUCACUGUACAGCUAGUGGCACAUUAAGCUUAACUCCGUAGGCACUUCUCUUCUCUUAAUUGGAUACCAGUUGAUUGCAAUGAUUGUGAAUACAUCAUGUUUAUGUUACAGAUGCUUCUUUUGAAUAUAGGAUAUUGCAAUAAAAUGAUUAGAAAUGUUAAGCUUUAUACUUCAAGAUGCUCGAUAUCGGUAUGGAGCAUGAGAUGUUUAUUACUCUCUGAAGAAGAUAACCUAAGUUGAAGACGAUUUGUUUUAAAUAUCUAGUUUUUUCUGGUAAAAAAGAUGUAUAUUUUCCUUGGAUAUGAACUGCCAUAGGUUGCAAUAGUAAUAUACCUCUAUAUCUAAAUAGUUGACUUAUUGAUGUACUACUAUCAGUUCAUACCCAUAUUUCAUAGUCACAACCAUGGAUGCUAGGCAUUAGGUAUCUCAACAAACAUAAAGUGUUUCCUAGCUAAACCGGUAUAUUUGUACUCCUAUUAGGUGUUGAUCAGUUGAUGCAAGUAGAGGUAAUUUAUGACAUUCUAUUGUUGUCACCAACAAUUGCCAAAAGAUACAAGUAGGUUUGUUAUUGACGUGUGACAGCAUGAUUUCCUCAAUUUGCUUUCUAUUCUAAAUUAGGAGAGUUUUAUGUUGCUGAACGUUGUGAUUCGGUUUCUACUUUUCUUUGUUUUUUCCCCUUUUUUUGGGCUGAUUUGUUUGAAUGGCUAUGCCACAGAGUGGAAGCUUCCUUUUUUCAUUUUCCUUAUCUUAUUUGAUUCAUCCUGAAGUACUAAAAUUGGUAAUCUGUUUGGUUAACAUGCGUAUUUAGCGUGAAUCUGCAUAGAGUACUUUGCAUGAUAGUGUGUUCUUAUAUAAGUUAAAUUUGUGCUAUUGAAGAUAGUAGCAUUGAGAGGUGUUCUGGAUCCUCUUUGAUUCACCACUUCUAUCUCUUUGUCUGAGUCCGAAGAAUCUUUAGUUGGAAUAUGAGUAAAUGUAUAAGGACUUUGGAUAUUGAACUUAGCUAGCAUGCUAAUAAACUUUACAUGGAUUCAUGCUUUGUUAACAAUAUUUGGUGAUUGUAUGUUCAUAUCUCUAAUCCUGGCAGUUGAACUCGCUCAUCCAUUUUAAUGUUAAUAAAGUUUAACUUCAAACGAUCUGCAUUUGAUACAUAACACAUCUCUCUUCUUCCAUUGUGCUCCGAUAAUAUGAAUAUAUUCUUCAAGCCUGCAUUAAUCAUUCUUGUCGUUUUAUAUCUGCUGUUACUCUUACUUGGGUCAAUUCUUGUUGCAGAUACGAUUUUGCUUCAAACAGAUGGUUGAAAGAAUCGAGCUUGCGGAGGAAAAUCCCAACCAACGAAUCCUGUGGAUUUGUCGCGAUGAACGGAGAGUUGUAUGUGCUGACAUCAGCAAAGCCCUCUAUGGAUAUUUCUGAAACAAGGAGGCCUCUGAAGAAAAGGCUGACUCUGGAAAUUCAAGUUUACAACCCUGUUAAAAAGAAGUGGAGAUUGCUCAUUACGAAUCCUCCAUUCCAUCAUCCCAUUGACUUUAAAACAGCAAUUUUAUGCACAAUUCAAAUAUAGAUUGCCGAUCGCAAUUCAUGGAUGUAUAUCUUCCCAUAAUUGGUUUAGACUUGUAUUCACCUCUUUCUCCAGGUGCAAAUAAUUUGUUUGUAAUGGGUUGAUUGCUUUCCUGCAUGUCAUUGCUAUAUUAUCAAUGAACUCUGAUAUCUGAUCCUUGUAUAUGAACAAUUUGAUACAGCAAAUCUUUGUAUAUACAUACUAUAUUUGUGGUUCAUCAUCUCUCUUCGUAUAUCUUGUUUUUUUUUUUGUUGGGACAUCUAUAAAUUUUUUUGUGUUGUAUUUUAGAACAGUAUUCAUCAAUAAUGUUCCUUCUGCGUUUUUGUGCGUGCUUGUGGAAGAAGCUCGUAAGUUACUACGCAUGGAUUUUUUCCACUUGAAUCAAGAUUUAAAUCGGGUCUUUUAUUGCAGCGACGGAAUACCAACAAACUGCUCUAUCCGUUGUAGUGAAAAAUAAAUAAAUAAAAAAAUGGUUUAACUCGGUCACAAUUUCACAUUAUCCUUUUCCUGCAAGUUCAUAAACAUUUCCUGCAACGAACGUGAGGAACAAGGCACUUUUAGCUAUGCUGUUCCGGGGAAUUGGUUAGUCAACUGUGAAAGCACUUAAAUAUGGUCAGAAAAUAACCUAACCACAGGUCCUUGACCUUUCCAUUUAGUCUAAUCAACUGGAUCUUUGACAAGGAAGAAACUGCUAAUUUCUGAUUUAUCUAGUGCUUUAAUUGAAUUUUCUGUAAUCCCCUUGGAACUCAAAGAAAAGAUUUUUCUCGUGCUUAUACAACAGUGUUGUUCGAAUAAAGAAUAAAUGUAGUCAAGAAGCCGUUUAGCUAUCUGCUCUAACUAAAAACAAAUAUUUUACUUGUCAAACAUCUAAUUUUUAGAUCUUGAAUACAGAGCUAUACUUAAAACUGGCAUAAAUAUUCAGAACUGAAGAGAACAAAAUACAAAUGGACUUGCCUUAUACUGUUUACAUUUUUCCUUGUUUUUUUUUUUCAACAUAACUAACAGUAUAAGUGUAGAACCAAUUUAUUUCGACCUGACGCAGUCACAUGCGUAAAAUUCAUAGGUGCGUACACAGAUACACAACACAACCUUGUUUACCAAACAAGCUCAACACGGUUCAGUAGUGGCACCGAGAGGACCAAGUCUCCAGUUCAAACUGAUUGACUGGACCCAAUUUUCAAACCUUAGGAAAAUCAAACCCAUGCAAAAAAAAAUAUUGACACAAAAAAGGCAACAGAUAAAGUAAAAAACCCUCCACCGCCUUCCCUAUAUAUAUGUCCCCUAAUCACAGCCUUCAUUCCACAAAUCAUAAACCUCUCAAUAUCCAUCCACAGAGAACUACAAGCAAGGAUCAAACUGCUCCUCUCAAAAGCAAAAAUGGCAAAGGUUAAGAGUGCAAAAGUGCUUCUGCUUCUCUUGUUGGUGGUGGUGUCAAGCUUUCAUGCUCUUGAUGCCUCAAGGCCUUUGGAAGAAAGGUGGUGGUCCAAUGAAGGGAGGCACCUCCUCCUCGGCUCUCUUCCGAAGGGGGGACCAGGGUCGGGGCCGUCCGGCUGCACUCACGAUCCGAAUAAUUCCGGCGGGUCAUGCCCGAAUUCGAAUGGUGCAUGAAAUUUUUUUAGAAAACAUGAUUCAACCUACUUAUAUUAGAGAGAACUUUGUUUUGUUUUUUUAUUCCUUUUGGUGGGGGUGGAGGGCCUAAUAAAUUUUUAGGCCCUUCCUCUCCUCUCAUUUUUCACUUCUUAUGGUGUGUGUAUUUUGAUUGCCUCGGGCAAUCUAUCUUGUACAUGCAUUGUGAAUAUGAUAGAUAUGGUUCAUUCUUUUGUAUGUAUUUGUUCUUUCGUGGUAAUUAAUAAAUUUAAUAAAUAAAUCAAAUGAGUUCCAAAUCCUACGGUUUGUGGAUUGAUAAUUUAAUCGAAAGCGAGCUUGAAGAACCAGAAAAGAUCACUUAUGGUACAAUGUUAGUUGUCUGUAUACAAUAUGCUAGCCUGGGCCCCUUCUACCACAUCACCAAAUAUGUGAAAAAUAGUUAAUACAUAAAAAGAAAUACAUGGGGGAUCGUCGAGUUUGAGAAAGAAAAAGAAAAGAAGCACGUUUUAACUAGCAAUCCUGAUAUGUAAUUAGCUGCAGGAAAGAAGAGGUGCAAGGGAUCUACUAUGAUGGGUUAAUGGAAGAAGAAAUAUUUGAAAGAUUUUAAAAAAAACAGAAAGAAGAGCAAGAAAACUUUUUUUUUCCCUUGAAUAAGUUGAUGAAAACUCAAAUAUGUAAUUAAGCCACAGAUGCAUAGAUGCUAUAUAAUUAUCUAACCAAUCCUGCAAAUGGAAAUGGGUGCUCUAAGUUAUUAUAAUCCACAUUCAUUCUUUGUUAUUACCAAGGGGUUAUAUUGUACCAACCAACUUAGUAUAGACGUAUUUAUCUAUUGUUUAAAUGGUCGCAAAAAUUAAAAAUUUUCACAGCAUAUAUAAAAUGCAUUUGAGAUUACUUGAUUACUAGCUAAAUAGUGUCGAAAAAUUACAAAAUUUAGUUUCUAUAGAACUCACAUUCUGUAAAUUAUGUAUAACAACUUUGAUUAUCGAUUCGAAUAGCCAUCAUGAUAAUGCAGAAUGUAUUACGAAUAUACUAUGGCGACGCGACAACACACACCAAAGUAAAAUAAUAAUAAAAAAAGAUCAAUUGCAAAUACACUAAUCCAACACACACCAAAAUAAAAUAAUAAUAAUAAAAGAUCACGUACAUAAUCAACUGUUUUGAAUUAAGAUACAAUUCAAAAGCAAUCAAUAGUUGAAUUAGCAUGUCUCCUUACCUAACAAUUAAGAUAAUGGUUUUAGGGACUCAACUCAGUUAAUGUGUUAAGGUCUAGUUUGUGCUGUGGUGAAUAAAUGCACCUGCUUUUAUGCUUUGAAAAACGCAAUUUCAAGCUACGCCCUAAGGGGGGCCGAUCAAUUGAGAUAACUCUUCUUAUUUCUAAUAUUUGCAUAAUAUUCAUUGUAUUACGAAGGCAAAUAAAUUGAGCAUUAUUUAAACUAAUGUUUCAUUAAUAACUGCUUUCCUAAUUCAACUGCCAUCCUCGGGAGGCAACUUCAUUCCAAGGUUUAAUUCAGCAGUCAAGGCACAUGGAGAUCACAAGAAUUUACAUAUUUAAGCAAUAAAAAUAAAGGGAAAAAAAGGAAUAACAUACCAUUGACUCGACUCUUCUUAUUUCUAAUAUUUGCAUAAUAUUCAUUAUAUUACGUAGGCAAACAAAUUGAGCAUUCUUUAAACUAAUGUUUCAUUAAUAACUGCUUUCCUAAUUCGACUGCCAUCCUCGGGAGGCAACUUCAUUCCAAGGUUUAAUUCAGCAGUCAAGGCGCAUGGAGAUCACAAGACUUUACGUAUUUAAGCAAUAAAUAUAAAGGGAAAAAAAGGAAUAACAUACCAUUGACUCGACUGUCAAUAUUGCCCAAUCUUGUACAAUUGAUUCAAAUGAAUGGCUGUGAUCAACCAACACAAUUACGUCAAGCCUGGUCAAUUAUGCACAUAGGCUACGGUUAGCAACAUACACUGACCAAGUCUGAAUUAGCACAGUAGCAAUUAGAAUUCAAACUUUACAAUAAAACUACUUUCCAAACCUAUAAACAACCCCAACUAUACCUUUGUUUCACCUCAUAUCUCCAUCUACCAAACAAAGAGAUCAAUUCUACCGCAUGCAGAGCGAAUUAUCCUUUCAUAUAGGCAUGGGCUUAGGGAGUUACAAAAGAGGUUGCUCUAUGCAUUUGCUGCUUCUCAUCUUGCUAUUAUCAAACUUUGAGCCUCUCUUCGCUGCACGGUCACUGGCAGAAAGCUGGCAUAAGCCACAGAGUUCUCUAACAAAGGGCUCUGAAACACCAUCAGGGCCUUCUGGGUGCACGAGUAACCCUAAUAUUGCUGGUGGUUCAUGCCCAAUACUUGAUUCAGAUGUUAAGCACUUUGUUCAAAGCUCACCUUAUUCGCUGAUUAAGCAAUUGAGAAAUUCAUGUAUCUUGAUAAUUUUCUUUUUUAAAAAAUUUUGCUUCCACCCUGUGGACUCGUAUAGCUGCACAAAAGAAGUAAAAAGCAAUCAAUAUCGUUUCCUUUUACAUGCAACAAUAUGAAAUCAUAUUAUAUGUAAAACUUAAAAUUUUAGCAUACUCAGUACUGAUUCAUCAUUCAGGACUAAAUAAAUGGCAAGUCCUCUGAACAGAAUGAGUGAUGAGCUUAUGGCCAUCUAACGGCAGUAUAAGCAACAGGUUUUGUUUGAUCAUACAAUCUUGGAAAGUUAAUAGGUUGAUUAGCCCACUAGGAAUAUUCCGCUAAAAAGAAAGAGCACGAAAAAGCAAGAGAACUUACCUUCUAUUAAUUGUAAGGCCUGCCUAUGAAAGCAAAACCAUUUUGUGUACUCUGAUCUAUCAGGUGGAACUGAAUCCAUCAGGCUCUUGUAUUUUCUGAUUAUAUAGUAAGCGAAUUGCCACAACCACGAAUACGCGCAAGAUGUUCUCUUGUCGAGAGUCUCAGAAACUGUCAUCAGGUACAAAACCUCUUUGAAGCAUUUCAUCAUGAAGCCAAAAUGCCUCUUUUAAGUUACCAGCAGCAACAUGACCAUUUAUCAAGGUUGUGUAUGUAUAUCUAUCAGGUUGAGUCCCUUUCCCAAGCAUUCUCUUAAAGACCCAUUCAGCCUCCUGCAUCUUCCCUUCCUCACACAACCCACUCAUGAGCAGAUUGUAUGACAGAACAUCAGGAAGAACCCCCUGUUUCUCCAUUUCACUAAGCAAAGCAAAAGCCUCCUGCAUCUUUUCCUCCUUCAUAAAACCAUGGAUGAGAGUAUUGUAACUUAUCCUAUCGGGAGUGAUUUUAUCCUUUCUCAUCUUUUCUAAGAAUUUUUCAGCCUUCGACGCAUCGCCAGACCGGCAGUAGCCCUUAAUUAUCGAAUUGUAUGUCACAACAUUAGGCAAGAUAUCUCUAUCCACCAUUUCAUCCCAAAAUUUAUAUGCCUCAGCCACUUCACCUUUCUCACAGUGGUUGUCUAUUAGAAUAGUGUAAGUAAUAUGAUUGGGGAAGAUUCCUCGAGAGUGCAUAUCAUCCCACAGCUCAUUAGCUUUCUCUAUGUCACCUUCUCUACACGUACCAUCAAUCAAAGUAUUGUAAGUAACAAUAUCUGGCUUCAAAUUGCGGUGCAACAUUUUAUCAAACAAUUUCAAGGCUUUCUCUACACAACCAUAUUUACAAUAGCCAUUUAUGAGAGUUGUAAAUGUGCAAAAAUCAGGUGGAACUCCUCUUUGAGACAUUUCCUCAAACAGCGCUUCUGCAUCUGCUAGUUGCCGUUCCUUGCACAAUCCGUUCAAAAUUGUGUUAUAAGUUACAACAUCUGGCAUGCAACCUUGAUCCACCAUCUCCUCUCGCAUCUUAAGAGCAUCGGCAAUUGAACCAAUACGACAAAAGCCACCGAUAAGCAUAGUGUAGAGUACACUAUCAGGAAUCAAUCCAACACUCUUCAUCUCUCUAAAAUACAUCAAAGCUCGGCUCAUGUCCCCUUUCUUUGUGAACAAACCAAUCAUAGAGCUAAAGCUAACCAUGUCAGGGACAAACCCGCGCCUUAAAAUUUCAUUGUAAAUCCUCGUUGCUUCCUUAAUAUCGCCAUUUCUACAAAAGCCACUGAGCAUAAUGUUAAAUGUGGGAGUGUUUGGCACCAAAUCCGAACCCACCAUUUCAUUCAACAACUCCUUCGCCCUCUCGUACUUCCCAUUUUUACAAAAUCCAUUCAAUAGAGCAUUAUACGUCACCACAUCAGGCUUCAACCCCUUCUCUCCCAUUGAGUUUAGCAAUUCCAAUGCUUCCUUCAACUCACCUGCGCGACAACGAGCAUCUAUCUGAGUAUUGUAUGUUACUUUAUCCGGAAAAAUCUCCCUUGUCUCCAUUUCCAGCAAUAAUAUAUCAACUUGUUGGAAUUUCCUAUCCUUGCACAAGGCAUUCACAAUUAUGUUCAAAGUGUAGACAUUCAAUUCAAUGCCCAUCUCAACAAUCUCCUGAUAAAUCUCCCAAGCCAAGUCGACCCAAUCGAUCCGAACCAAUCCGGCUAGUAGGCUAUUACAGCCAUUCACCGAAACGAAGACCCCCUUAUCCUUUAGUACUCGAAACGCCUCCGCCGCCUCCCUGAGCUUCCUCGCCUGCACGUAGGUGCGGAUAAGGAGAUCAAACACGGAGGGAUUCGAAUCGAAACGAUGGUAAGAAGAAACCAAAGCGUCGACGAUCUCGGGCCUCGUGGCGCCCCUACGGCGGAUCAUGCGGAGGAUCAAGGACUGGGCUUGGGAGGUCCUGUGGCUCCGAAUGGUGGUGUGGAUCAUCGCGGCGAAGGUGUCGGAGCAGAGCUUGAGAUUGGGCCUCCGGAGGAGGAGAUCGACGAGCCUGUGGGCGGAUUCGGGGUUCGAGUGGGUGCAUGUGGAGAGAAGGGAGACGAUGGUGGAGGGAUCGGGGCUCUCGCGAUCUAGUGAGGAGAGGAGUUUGUCGUGGAGGAGGGUAUCUGAGCUAGGGUUUUGAGGAGCGAUUAGGGUUUUGGGAGGAGGACGAGGACGAGGAUGAGGACGUGGGCGGAGAGAGUGGCGAGCGGCGGUUCGGAGCGGCGACGCCAUUUGGAGCGUCCGCGCUGUCCGCGGGUGCGGGCCCUGCGGGGUGUGGGGAGCGGGGGGGGCUUCUCUGGCUUUCAAGCAGUCAAAGAGGGGUAAAAUGGUCUUUUCAGUAAAACCUGGGCUUGGUCCGAUCCGUUUUGGAGCCUUGUUAGGUGCGACUUAUAUGAGCCUGAUCAGGUCAAUGCGGUCCCGUUCAUCCCCACCUGAUCUACUGGCCCAAGGAAACGAGCCCAUAGGCCAAACAUUAGGCCCAAGUAAACUCAUAACAAAACGUUUCAGAAAUUGCUGAUGAGUUAAAAGGUCGAUUAUAUCGCAAACGCGUAGGGUUGACAAGGCCCAAGUAAAUCAGAAACCAGGUUCAGCUCUGGAGAUUGAAGGCCCAGAACCGGUCCAAGUCCAAAAGGAUGAAAAGUGACCUUCAAAUCAUGCAAAAUUGGAAACUAGACUUUAUAAUAUUUAGUAUACAAGUGUUUUCCAUACCAUUAAAUACAUCCAACGAAUUAAAUUCAGAUCUUGAGAUCUCUAUUAUGAUAUUUUUAGGGUGCAGUGUACAAGAUGUACCCACGAAGGGGAGAGAGAAAGCUGAAGAAAAAGGGGAAAAAAAAAAUCUUUUGGAUUUCUCAAUAGCAGGAAACAAAAAACUCUACACAGAAGCAUCAAACAAAUUAUCUAUUUCUUCUUUAUUGCUCUCUCUAGUGCACCCUUUGUUAUUUAGAAACUGCUCCUAUGAUUACAGCACCAACUUAAGGGGAAGAGGAAACUAGUACAACAGCUGCCACUUCCAUCUCACAGCAUUAGAAUCUGAUGAUAAAGCAAAAAAUGGCAAAGUAAGAGAAAGUGAGAGAUGCCGAUAAUUACACUUGGACAAGUAAAGAGAUUCAAAAAGGCUUACGACAGUAUAAUUCUUUUCGUUUCUCCAUAGCUACGAAAUGCUCUUUCCCUCAGCUGAUGAAAUCUUUCCUUCCACUACUUUCUCAGCAGUUGGGGCCAUCUCGUGAACAAAUUUGACAGACUCUGAUAGUCUGUUGAGAAGGUUUAUUAAAGCAAUCGCUUCAUUUCGCUGCAACUGCAACUGAAAAUUCACCAAACAAAGUUCAUUAUAAGACUCGGUAUAUAAGCUCCUUCAAUGAAAAAUAAAAAAUUCAAGAGUAAUCUCUAAUAUGAGACAGUACAGAAGCCUGAAUAAAAAAAAAAAUUAAUUAAAAAAAAACAUUGUAGGUAGAUAAAUUAUCAUUACAAUAUAGCAGCAGUGAACACUUAUAAUGAAAAGAUAUUUCUAAAUUUGAAGAGAAUAUAUUAACAAAUAACUACUUCACCAACCAACGAGUAUAAGCACAUAAUCCUAAACUUUCUCAAAAAGUGUAAAGAAUAAAAUAGUAAAGGGUAACGUACAGGUUGAUUCAACUGAUUUUGGUCAUCAAGAGAGAAAACAAUCUUUAACGCAGUCCCGAGACCAAGAACUUGAAGCUUCCCCCACAAUCGGCACUUCUCACAUCCGACACAAUCCAUCAACGCACUAUAAUUGGAAAAUACAUCAGGUCAAAUUUCAGAAUUAAUAGAUGAUCAAAUGGAAUGUUUAAAGUUUGAAUAUAAACCUGAUGUUCCUAAAUUGCUUCUGAAUCUGUUGUUUGAGCUCAGGACCAUUUUCACCUUGCCAAAGCUUGGCUUCAUCAAAUGGUAGAGGACAUGCUGCUUGUAAUUUGGGGUUAUAUACCAAUUGCCUCACCAAAGAUUGUGUUUUCAGGUCCUCUUGGGGGUUGCCAGUAUCGUAUUCUGCUUGUUCCAAGUAAUCUGCUGCCUGCAACUCAUCAAGGAGAAUAAUGUUAUCCAUGUACGGCAUCUAUGGGUAGCAUAGCUCAAGACUAGCAGAAUAAAUAUGUGAAGACAUAAAAAACUACUCUAGUUCCAUCAUGGUUCAAACAGAAACUUUGCAUCGCAUUACAUCUCAUACUAUAAGCCAUACUGAAACAUAAGGUCUGCCAGAUAAAUCAGAACCAGUUACCUUUGUCACUGCUCGAAGAACGAAGAGGAAGGUGAAGUAGAGAUUUCUAACACGAUCAGGAUACUUCAGCACACGAUCAUACAAUAAUUCAAGAUUAUGACCCCACUGAAACAAAUUUAGAAGACGGAAAAUUAGAAAUUAAUUGCAUAUAUAAGCACCUAUUUUAUUCGAGCUAAUGCAUCAGUUAGUUGAUCAUACCAGAUUACUGGAUUCAUCAAGGAGAUAGUCUGAAGCUAUGUGUACUGAAAUUGAGGAGUGUAACCCUGAAAUCAGCUUGUACAACAGUUUCUUCUCCUGGCAAAAUUCUUCUGAAGGAUCUGAUGAACACCAACAUUAAUAAACAAGUUAGUGCAUUUGAAUGUGCUCUCUGAAGCUCAAUUUGCUUAUUUUCCAUCAGUGAGAAAAUUGUCUACAUCCAUCUAGAGUAAUAAUUACCAGCUUAAUAUUAAAGACCUAUCACACACUCAAUCAAUAAGCAUAGGCAGACAAUUUACAAUUCAACGUGCCGGCUACCCAAAGUUCGAGUGCAGGGGAGGAAAAUUGGAGCCAAACCAAAAAGUGACAAAACAUUAUAUUUGACUGUUAGAUAAUAUGCCUCUUAGAAAUCCAAUGACGCUUCCCUUGUGCAACAGGAGGAAAAAGAGUUUUAAUAAUUUAAUAGUCCCGGGCUCAAAGCAUUAUCAUUGAUACGAAAAAUACGAGACAAAGACUUUAUGAGCUAUAUUUUAACGUAUUACCCAAAUUCAUGCUGUAACAUACAUAAAAAAAAAAAAAAAAAAAAGAUAACUAGAAAUAUGUGGUGUAAAAAGACUAACACUUGGGACAAUUUUCUUUGUAGAUGGCAUCCCAGAUUCUCCAAGCUGAACGACCAGAGUAUCCGGUAUACCGUUCCGGGUUUAGCUGGAGAUUCACAUAUGUCAUUUCAGCUGCAAAAAUAAAACCAAAGCGUCAAUAACCACUCAGAAAUUUGAAAAUAUAGCAGGAAAAAACAACAGAAUUCAUUAAAAGAAAAAAAAUCAAAGAACUACCAUCAUCGGUCUCAUCAUCAUAUGUCCAUGGAUUGUCUACUUCAAUCCAGCCUCUGAAAGCUUUACUAUCAAUAGUCCGAUCAACGGCCGCCUGGGGUUUUCCCUCCUGACAUAUCAUAUCAUCGGCAGAAAGACCACUAGAGGACUUCCUCCUAAACGGUUCUGGAACCUCGCUUUCUGGACACUCACAGACAGUACAAUCCCUAAAACGGCACAUUCCAUCGUCAGGCCAGAACGGACAAUCACACCACAAUUUGACCUGCCAAGAUAUAUAUCAACAAUACAUUCAAUAAGCAAAAAAUAAAGUCCAUAGAACUGGAUGAAUUAAUUACAAGACACAACUCCACUAUCAAAUUUGGGAUAUAUCCAUGAAAGUCUUGGAGAAUCUUCAGAAUUCAGAUACUUCAAUUUCAGCCUAAAAAUUUGAUUUUGUAUACUCAUUUUUCCUCUUAAUGUAAGAUUGUUGGAACAAACAGUAGGCUUUUUAUAGACGGAUAACCCUACAAAUCUGAAAUGUAUACUUCUCUCACUAUCAAUUCAACCCUAAUAACCAGGUAGAAUUAGAACAAAUAGGUAGCUUUGAUGCACAUAAAGCUCAAAAUUUACAAAAUUCUAACUAAUAAAGAUAUGAAAAACUAAAUUCCUUCGCUUUACCUUAAAGUAGCGGAAGAAAGGAGUGGUGACGAGCUCUUGAAGAAUCGGAUGCAACACUUCCUCGUUGAUAGAAUUUACAGUCUCGUAAUCACAGCAACAAUCCUCCACUAUACCCGCGUACUUCCUCGAAUCCCGAUCCUUCAAAACCUAAUCGCCAUAAGCAAACACUGACCCCAAAUUGGAACACAAAAUCGCACAAUUCGAUGAGAAACUCUUACGGGGCAUUCGCAGGGCCUCUUGGAGAGCCCGGAGAUGGAGAGCUUUGGGAAGCUCCUCGAGCUCGCGGCGGUGGCAAGGAACAGGGCGACCACUGCGCCCACCGCCGCCGCCACCGUAAAAGCCCACCUUCGCCGCCGCCUCGGCCUCCCUCCGCCAACGUCUCCGCCGUGCUCCUCCUUCGCCAUCGCUAUCAAAACCCUAGGUUUCUCUCAGGGGAAUGGGAUCACCAAUAAAUAUAUAUAUAAACCCUAGAUGGGAAUGCGAGGUCGAUGGUUUUGAAUUGCUUCGGGGAGAAGUUCGAAACGCGGGGAGGGAGAGAAACAGGCGGCGGGGGUAGCCGUUAACGGUGGGUUGGAGAAGGCGGUUCGGAGAACUUCAUAAAUAAAAUAUAAUAAUAAUGAUAAAUAAUAAAAAAAAUGAAAUUAACCUGUGUGUUUAUUAAUAGUAUUCAUAUAAUAAAGGGCCGCGGUUUUUGACUGCAUUGUGACUAGCGAUUGACUUUUAUUCAUUAAUUUAGUAUAUACAUCUCUAUUCCAGUGUAUAUAUUGCAAUGCUCUUUUUAAGAGUAAUACAAUAUUUACUUAUUAUUAUUACCAAUAUAAAAUAUUAAUUAACCAGUUAGUAUAGUAAUUUAGAAAACAAAGAUGACAUAAAUGAAUAGAAUAAAAUUAUUUUUUUUUAUUUUUUAUUUUUAUUUUUUGAGAGAUAGGUAGUACGCGACUAGUUUCGUUUAUUUUAUUUAAAAAUAAACUUAGCUGGAAAUAUGAAUCUAACUAAGAUUCGAACUUUGAAUCUCGAAUACCAGUCACCAAGCCUUUUGCUACUUGCUCUAGAGACAGUCGGUAUCAUAAUUAUUAUAUGAUGUCAUAAUAAUAUGAAGGACAUACAU